UUUCCCUUUUCCUUUCCUUUCCUUUCCUUUCCUUUCCUUUCCUUUCCUUUCCUUUCCUUUCCUUUCCUUUCCUUUCCUUUCCUUUCCUUUCCUUUCCUUUCCUUUCCUUUCCUUUCCUUUCCUUUCCUUUCCUUUCCUUUCCUUUCCUUUCCUUUCCUUUCCUUUCCUUUCCAUUCCUUUCCAUUCCUUUCCAUUCCUUUCCUCUGCUUUACAACAUGGUUUUUGUAAGGUGGGCUACAUUUAGAGGGCAUUGAAUCUUGGUAUUCCUUUUAACAAUCUCAUUGCUCCUGAAGACGUCUAAAAGGCUGUAUUUCCUAAAUUCAUUGUAUAAGCACGUUGUGCCCUAUGUUACAUUUCUUUAUUUAAAAAAACCCGUGGGGUGAGGAUGGUGAUGAUUGAUAUCAGGCUACCAUAUAAUCGGUAUGAGAGUUAGGUUGUUAGCUGAUAACUUAUCAACUUAUUUUUUUGUUUUUUAGUUUAGCUAACUGCAGAAAAGCCACUUUUAAACUGGCACGAACUGGCGUAACAUACGAGCUGAGUGGAAGGCAAGCUUCUUCAUCAGUGGGUGGACUUGGUUCGGCCUGGUCAGUCUGUAAGCACGCAGGAAUGUUUGAACUGCUUUUGUGUGUGCUACUGAGGCAAGAGAUGUUUCACCACCACUGCAGCUGCAUGAAAAUAAGACCUUCUGCUUUCUGUUGGAAUCACAAUAAUAAUUAUUGUGAGGAAUUACAUCUUGUCUCUAAUGUUCGUGACUGCAAAGAGAGUGCUCCUGAAGAUGGGAAUGUGAAGGAAUUUAAAUGAAUGAAGCUUCUUUUGAAAACAAACGCAAGCUGAGGAAAGCGAAGACAGUGGAUGAGCCUGAAGCUGUUGUAGGAGGGAACCUCUGCAGCUCAUACAUCCAAGCUCUGUGGCUUUAGCUGAGCUUUGAAAACAUGGGAGUCAAAAGCAAGAAAGUGCUGAGGUCUUGGUUUCUGGCAUAGGUUGUUUCUCUGAUGCAAGUGCACUUGCUGUGCAGUCACUACAGUUCCUGGACUGAAAGAAUAGGAACAGAUUUAGAGUGCUUUUAUCUAACAUGAAAUUGAUACCGUCUUAUGGGAAUGACUUCUCAGAAGAACACAGGAAUGUCUGUACUAGGCUAGACCCGUGGAGAUCUAGGGAAGAGCAUCAGACUCAGGUAAAUAUUUUGUGAUCCUUCACCAGACAGCUUUUCUGGCCAACAGCGAUUUGUAGCUCAGGGGCAACUGUAAGAGCUUUUCAGGUGCAAGUAACACACCUUGUUUAUAAACAUGAAAAUGAGAGGGAAGAUGAGCUUGUGUACUUAUUGCAGCAGCUUGCCAAAAUUGCUAGUACUGACUUUCUGUUGUUUACAUCAUCCUUUCCCCAAUGCAUUCAAAUUUUGGGGUAUGUUCUCUGAGGGAUUUAAAUUUUGUGGCUCUGCAGCUACAUUUUAGAAUUUCAAAAGCAUUUUUAUUAUAUUGAUUUAAAUAGUAUUUAAAAUCCAACAAAUUAUUUAAGAUAACGAGUAGACCUAUCAACACAUGAUUUACAAAGUACUUAUUUUCUGCUCUAAGUUUCUAACCAAUCUGAGAAGUAUAAAGGAUACUAUUUCUCUUGAGUGAAUGUUUCUAGAAAGAAAGAUGCAUGACAACAGUAGUUUUUAGAUGUCUGUUGUUUUAUGGAAUAUUUAUUAAAACAUCUUUUUAGAAGUGUUGGAUGAUGGUACUAUGAUAUGGAAAAAGUGCUAAGUAUCCUGAAUGUUUUCCUUGGUUAUUUAAAAUCGAAUAAAUGUUCAGUAAAUGGACAACCUCAUCUGAACCAGGAUUAACUUUAAAUUCAAGCCAUUAUUCUCUUGGUACAUAACCAAUACAGUGUGUGUUCUUAUCAACAAGUGCGUCUCAUUUUUAAUUUAUGAGAGUUUACCUGAGAGUAUUCAAAUGUCUCGCCCUUUCCAAGUAUUAAAAAAUGCCUUUGAUGUCUCAGCGUUUGACUUUAAAACAGCUGAUCUUCUGGUGUGCUGCAUAAUAAAGUUGUUUUGAUACAUACAAGAAAUGCUGCUAGUUCGUUCCAAGUUUGCAUGGCAUAAUUAAGCGAGGGUUUUGUUCAGUCAAAAUUGGUGAUACUGUGAAAACAAAAAUCAAUCCAUUCCUCUUAAGUUACUUUAAGACAAAUUAUUAAACAGGCGUGAUCAAGUCUCUUGUAUUUUAAGAAGUGCUGAAGCUGAAUUUUGAAAAUCUUCGUGCUCAUUCUUAUUUACAAAUAGUUCAUGAUUUUUAAAUAAGGAUUUCCAGUACUCUCUUUUCAUUUUUAAUAUUGGAUUGAGGGAUAUCAAUAAAAACAUUCAAUUAUACUGGGCUGUGUGUAGGCUCCACAGGAACCCGAGCUGUGAUUAGAUUUCUCAGCUAGAGUAGAACAGCACCAUUUCAUUGAUUUAAAUUUCCCCCAUUAUGGAAGGAUUCUUUGCUUUGAUUAGUCUCACAGUUAGUGGGGCGUUCACAGUAAUGGAAGAGGUGCAGGAGCCUACAAAUUGGGGAAAAGCAAACAGAAACAGGUAAUAUCACAAGAAUUAUAUUUUAAAUGUUGAAUUCCACAUUGUCCUUUCUUACCGUUUUUCCUUUUCAUUUUUUUUCCCUAAACAUUUCUGUAUUAUUGAGUUUAUCUAGAAAAAACAAACUUGUUAGCUUGAGCAGAGGUUUGUGGUUUUUUUGCCUUUCUUUGUCUCUUAGUCCUCUACCUUCCUUUCUGUGGGCUGGUUAAUUUAAUCUUUCUAGCUGCUGUAUUGGUUUGUUCAGCAUCGCUUGCGUCAGCGUGUUACAUAUGAAAGGCACAUCAGCUGAAGGGAACUAAUAUCCCGAUCAACUUACCAUUGCUGCAGAUAGAGGGAAACCAGCUGGCACGAGUGAAUUGAUUUCUGCAUCAAUCUCCUUGCACAGGCAAUCAAUUCACUGGAGAGAAACGAGACCUGAGUCCUCAUCACUUUCCUGUUGCCGAAGGCUCCUUGUGUCGGAGUUGCAUUCUUCCGAAUUUACUGGUGCACCCUGCUAACCAGCUCUGAGCCCUGGGAACCCAGAGCCUGUAAAAGGCAACAGCAGGUGUCAGUGUGCUGUGGGUCACAUCCUUGGGCUGGUGCUGCAACCACACUGGUCACCAUGUUAGUCAAGAGAUAUUUAAGCCCCAAAAGCAUUAUAGGAGGCAUCUCUCGUUGCCAACAUCAUGAGGGUCAUCCUGAUAACAAAGCAGAAUGAAUUUUGUAAUUUUUUAGUAAAACCGGCUGCUUUUUGUAGUUUCUGAACCACAUGCAUGCUAAGAAUUCUGAGGAAUGACACAUAGUUUCAGUAGGCAUCAUUGUUAUAUCUUUGUGUGGAAAAAAACAUGGUGCUUUCGCUCUUCUCCCUCACUUUUUUUUGGCAAAGAAGCAGUAGUGCAGCAAAGCGGGUCUGCUCUAUAAUAAAAUUUUUUCAGGGCACUAUAAUGUGUAACUUAGGUAAUGGCUUAAAUAGUUGAGUUAAAGAGAAAAUAAUUAGAAGGCUAAUUUGGAUUCACCCUUCCCUAUUACCGCUUAAAUAUGUUGACUGUAGACUUCUGUUGCUGCUUCAUUUAGCUUGACUAUUGCAAUGACCCAACUCCUUGCGCCUCAGACUGUUCUUGUUCAGAUAUGAAGGAGUUUUUGUGUCACUGGACCACAGCACCUUGCACUUGUGGCUUUUCUGGUGCUGAAGAGUUAGAAGCAAAUAAGCUGACAUGGGCUUAUGUAAGGGAACUGACUUGCCCUAAUUUGAUCCCCAAAGUGUCAUUGAUCCUAUUUGCAUUACACAGUCAAAUAUUUGUAUAUGGUAUCAUUGAGGCUAACAAAACAUUGUUAUAGGGCAGUGUUUAUGUCACAAAUUAUGACAUUUACUUGUUGAUGGGAUAGUAUAAUGUCAGCACAUAAUGGCACAAAUGUCAUCAUUCUGUGAUAUGACAAAUUGUCCCUAAGGACAGAUUUUUAAAGAGACCUUAACGGAUGUUGAAAAGAUGAAUUGAUUUAGACUGAUUUUAUUUGUGUCAUAUUUAGGAACAAUCAGAAGUUUAGAAAGCAAAGCUUGUGGCAAUUUGUAUCACUUUUCAUUCUUGAAGGGUCCUUGCUAAUGUCACAAACUUUAGUCAUUAUACACAUGAUGCUUCCUUAGCAGACAAAUUUGUUGACUCAUGGUGCUUCAAGGCAACUCCAGAGAUGACAAUUCUUGAGCAGCUAACAUGUUUAAUUGGACUGUUCUCCAUGUGUAGCAGCCUGGAUUUUCCUAUUUUAACCACAAAAUAGUAGGAGAAUUUGGAAAGUUUCCAGUCUAUCAAAACUCAAGUGCAAUAGGAAGUAAGAUAAUUUUGUUUGUGUUUGUUCUGUCCUUCAUUCAAACCUUGUUAGAGGCAGUUGUGAAGCAGACUGAGCAGUGCUGCUUAUACCGUAUCUACAAGGCAAAUUCAGCUGGGAUGGCUGUGCUUUGGUAACACAACUAAACCACUAAACCGCAGAAGUAUAUUUGGUAUUGCCAUGUGUUCCUGGGCGGUUCCCUGUGUAUGCCUGAGAUACACUGUAAGAAAUCAAAGGAGAGAUUGUCUCCAGAAGACAUUUUUAAUAAAAUUAAGACAUGCAACUUGCGCUGAAAUCAGAGCCUUUGAGAAUAUUGAUCAGAUUUCUUAAAUAUGAAGGGAAUAUUCUGGUGAGAACUGAAGGCUGCAGCUUUUUUUGUGGCAAUAGUAGAUUGCUGUAGAAACAGACUCAAUGGAAAAUUUGUUUGUCCAAGCAGAGAAUAAUUAAAUUAUGGAUUUGCUCUUCAGGUGAGGUGUUUCUGGAUUUAAUGAUGAAAUUUGGUCUUAGACAGGCCUAGUCGUACUUCAGGUGGAGGUGGCGUGCAGGCUUGUUCUGUCACACGUGGGUCCGUUCACACAUAAAUUUGGUUUUGUGUAUGUGCUGUAUGUGAGACUAUAUAUGCAGAUGGUUUCAGGCACUUAUUCUGCUUGUAUAGUUUAUAGAUUUAAUGCAGAAGUUUGAGCUGCUCUUCUUUGCAAACACAGGUAAAUAUUAAUAAAAUACAGUGUGUUCGUUUGUCCAGUUUUCUAAGUGAGGCUGGAUGGACAGUCCCAGGACAGCUGCCCCUGGGAGCCGGGGGAACCCGUCCACGUGUGUGAGCUGUGCCUGCGGCUGAGAACCCUGCCCGUGUGGACUCUGCUUGCUGUACUUGGCCAGUGUUGAGUUGAUGCUCCGUGAUUACACCAGGCUGUAACUCGCUGUUAAGGAAGAGAAACUGAAUAAAGAAAAAACAUAGUGUUUGAUGGAAAUGAACAGUGUUGAACAAACUUUUAACAGCUUUCUAAUCAAGAUAUUUGGACAUGGGAUACUUUUUUCAAAACAUUUGGUCUGGAACUGAUCCAAAGCCAGUCUUCCUCCGAGCAAAUUCCUCAAGCAGGACAUUCUUCCUCAGGUUGCCAGCAGAGUAAGCCUCCAUUUCCGUAAUUUCUGUGUCAGUUCAAAGACAGAUUCCAGGUGAGUUGUUAUUUUUCUACAGAGAACUGUCAGUGGUUCCUGCAGAAAUGGAAAAUGAGGCAGGUCCGGUUGUUUUUGCAUCUCUUGGGUUUCAGGAGAACCACUUCUGGAUUGUGGGGCUGCCAGAGACUCUCUGUUCGACCUUGAGCAGGUAACUUGAAUCUUUCUAUAUCUAAAUGGCACGUACAGAAGUCUCGUUCUGCCUCUUCGGUUAUAAGGGCAACUUCAAAGAUCAUGAAGUGUUUGGAUACUUUGGAAGUUAGUGUGAUCAUGUUACCAUAAGUAAACAGAAGGGAAAGGAAAGGCAGGCUACACAGGAAAGUUAUUUUUCUGAUGUUAGUCUGAUAUAAGGGAAUCUCAUUUUACAGUCACUUAUUCAGAGCUUUCAUGUGGCCUUACAUCCUACAUGAUAUUGCUCUUUAAAUGCUGUCAUGUACAAACAGUAGAGCAUUGUGAAUGAUUUUUCAUUUACAUAUAUUUUUAAUGCUUGAUACUUACAUUAGUGAAAUAUGCUCUUACCAAGCCACUUUUUAUUUUGAUAUAUGUUAUUUUCUUUCCUAACAACAUCUACUUAAAAAAUCACUUGGAAAUUUUACCCUUAAAAAUGUUUGAGAUUUUAAAAAUUAUUUUUCUGAACUAUAUGUGUUUUUGUUUUGUUUAAUUUUAAUUUGGUAAGAGUUAUAAAUUUCUUAGAAUCAUUGCAUACAUAGUAAUUUGAAAUGUGUCUGGCAUUAGGUCUGUAAAAACAAUCUGGAUGUUCUCUGAUCUGGAUCUACAGAGCCAUAAAAUAUAUAUGGCACUGUAUUAAGUUUUAUAAUGCUCAUUACUUCAAUGUUGUACCUGUUGAGUAGAAAAUCACUGAAGCGGAUGAAGAGUAUUGCUCUUUGAGCAGCAGAAAUAUUAGAAGUGCUUUUACAUGGCCCCUUCCAGAGAUGAGUUUCACUGCAGGGUUCAGCAAAGAAAUAAUUAGUAUUUAAACUGUUUGCGAAGGAAUAGGACUAUUCCUCCGGAGCAGAAGGAUUACAAACCAGUGGAGCGCUGCAGAAUUUUUCUUUGGGCUAAAAUAAUUGCCAUAUGAAGUCUUCAGGAUAUAAUGAGGGAUAUCUGUGGUCUAGCAAAGUGAGCUUAAAACUCGAUAUAGUAGGACCCUGUUUUAAUUCCUGUAUCUUUCACAUGACUGUCAUUGCAAUUUGGGGCAAUGCUGUUUGUUCCUGUUCCAGUUGUUAGAGCAGUAUUAGCAAUGUAAUCUGUGUGUCUUUAAAAUUAACUGUGCCUUCAUAUUUAGUUACUUUCAGGGUCAAUUGCUAAGCUACUUAGACAACAGAUUUAACCUACCUGCUUUGUAAUCUCUGUAAUCAGUCCUCUGGAAGGCCUGGGAUCUACAUGCAUGUUGAACAACAUCAACCAUUGUACUCCAGCAAUGAGCUCCAAAUGGUUCAAUAUUUAGAUAGUGUUAGCUGACCUUCUUCUUAUAAUUAUAGCCCUAAUGAGCCUCAGUAUUUGUCUUGAUGUCUUUGUAUUUUUGAAAGGGAUUUUUAUUUAUGAUCUCUAGAAAAUGCCUUUAUUUAAUGGGCGUUGCAUUAGCAUUGCUAAUGGUAAUAAUGUGUUUAGUUUCAAAGGCUGCCUGCUUUGAAAUUUACUGCAGAAUAGUGGAAGUGCCACGAUUCACUUGGGAGCGUCUGGGAGAAAGUCAUGUUGAUGUUUUACUUUUAGAAUAUGUCAUUGUAGCGUUCCACUUCCAUUACCGAAGUGCCAGUUGUUUGGUCUCAGUAGAGAUGUACAGGAGAUGAAACAGCCCUGGAAGUGUCAUGGUAUAAAGCCAUAAGAAAACAUGGAAGUUUGCAGUGGAUGUAUAAUCCCCAGCUCAGUUUUGCAUGAUGAGAGCUUGUUGUCUACAUGUUGGAUGUAAGCAACUCCUGAGUGUAAAAAGUGGUAUGUGUGCCCCAUUUAUGUUCACCUGUCUAUUGGGUGGGUUUAGAUGCUUUGCGGUGCUAAUUUUGCAUUCUCCCAGGCUCUAGCCCUCUCAGAACAAAUCCUCCAAAACCAGGGUUGUUUUCAAUUUGACUCGUGUCACUGUGCUACUGCAUGGUGCAGCUCUGCAACCAUGGCACUGACACAACUGAAAGGGCAUUGGACACGGGCAGCGGUGGGAGAACAAGUGGCCGGAGCAGUAGGCAAUGGGAACUUUGAGAAGUAGCUUCAGUGCUGAAUCAGUGCAUUGUGAAACAGGUUCCUUACCGUGUAGUUUCUCUGGGUAGCAGUGCUGUCUUAAGCAGCCACAGAGUAUUUCCAGGCCCGUACAAACCCUCUCAGUUGGCAUCAGGGUAUUGUUUGUAUUGAUCAUGAGAAGAAGAACCUGAUCAGCUGGGUUACAAUAUUUUCUUUAAUGUUUGGUUUCAAUCUGCCCUGCUUCAGUUUACUUUUUUCCCUAUCCACUAGGGAUACGGAGGAGAGUUUAUUCCCCGUCUCUUUUCAUCAAACUUCAAUAUUUCUGAAAGCCUUUAUUUUUCUUCUCCUAUGUCUUGCUUUCUUUGGAUUUAAUCACCUCAGCUGUGUCAUCCUUUCCACAUUGCUCACUUGGUGCUGCUUUUCUAGACCUCUCAUCAUUUUUAUUGCAUUCUUCCAGGCUCUCUCCAAUUAAUCCACAUUAGUCCUGUGAUGCUUUGGCAUGAACACACUCUUCCAACUGAGGUCUUCAGGCUUUCUUACAGUCUGCAUGUGUCUUGUAGCCUCGUUAUGCAUUACCUUACAGUGCCAUGGUGCUAUGGAAAAGGCAGACAGUGCUGCCUUAUGGUUCAUUAACGCUCCUGGCUCUUCUUUAGCCGAGUGUACUUUGCUCUUGCCUAUUCUGAUUAUGUGCACUUUACUAUUUAUGCUCAUUGACUGCCAUCAUUCUUGCUGAAUGGCACUCAGCCAUUUUUUGAUAAUUUUUCCAAUUUGUGAAGAUCACUUUGAAGUUCUUAUCUUGUACCACAGUCUGUACGUUUCAGAUGGUGUCAUCUUCAGAUUUUAUAAGCAUAACCACUUCACGCAGAUGUUAAAUAAUACCAGAGUAAGGAUGUGUUCCCUUGCAAUCUCACUUGAUGGAGCAGGUAUCUGUUAUCUCACUGUUAUCCCUAAGACCUGUUAGUCUGCUGUAUGAGAGAAUUAGGAAAUUUUGAUAGUAUUUGCUUUUGAAAAUUUCAAAUUGGACUUCACUCAUUGCUUGUACACAGUUUAUUUGGUGAUAUCUUCUAGAAUUUUUCUGGGAAUUUAAGCUACAUUGACUACUUGGUGCUUUCCAGACUCUUCCUACCUCUUCUUGUCUUUUUAUUAAAAUAAGUUCUGUGUGGUCAUCUGAUAUGCACUGUAAUUUCCGUUAGUUCUUUAAAAAGCAAGUGAAAUGAUCUAAAAACUUACGACAGUGUUCGACAAUCUGAGGAUGAUGUUCAUCCCCACCUCAUCUACUAGUAUGCUUUUGUUGCCUCAUUCUUUGUUAAAAUACCACCUAAGUUCUUCUUUCACCUUUCUCUGUGUCCAGGUACCUGUUACUUUUCAAUGCAUUUCAGUUGGCUUUGCCACCAUAGCUCUUUGUGCGACCUCGUGGUAAAGCAGAUGAGUGAACUGAUUGGGGUAAAAAUAACUCUGGAGACAUUCUCCACAAUGUUGUUCCUUCCCGUGUUUUGCAUGACACCCCUUUCCCCCCAUCCCUUAACCCCCACUCCCACAUUGAGGGAAUCACAUGUGGAGAAAUCCGUAUCCAGAAGUGGUGAGCAGGAAAUUCUGGCAGAGACUGCAUCUUGCUGUGUUAUUUUCCAAAACAUGUCUUCUGGGUAGCUUUGUUCACUUUAUUGCUAAACUCUAUGAGUUGUAUUAUUUUUCUUCCUGAUCAAAAUAGUGUACAAAGACAGGAAUCUUUUAGGAAAAUAUUAAUUUCUAUAGAUCUGUGGCUUUUACUUUCCAUGGCAAACGCUGCUUUGAAUUAAUGCAUCUGGUUCAAGGCCUUCAUAGUGUCUUGGCUUUUGCAUACCGUUGCCAGGGUGUUCUUCCACGCUGGCAUAUGGGCACACAGUGAAUGUCCUCCCACCUCUGCUGCACCACACUUGUACUGCUGGCAAUCUCUUAGUUUUCUGUAAUUCGUUUUUCUUUAUUUCUUCUUUUUAUUCUUCUGACACUGCUGGCAUUCUCUUUCUCUCUCCCUCUGCAUCCUUAAUUCUUCAACCUGCAUGAGCUUCUUAACACAUUGCUGGAUUGUAGACAUUUAUAGGUAAAUUUUUUAUGAGCAAAAUACAUAGCUGGUAAAAAUAAGUUCUGUUAAAAUCAGAAAAGGAUCAGAAGCUCUGCGUGCAUGGAUAUACACUUAGUUAAGUCUCACUUGAAGUACUUUGUAGGUUAACCUCUAUUUUCUUCCCAGAAAAUCUUUGAAAUGUUUAAAAAUAACGACCUCUGUUGCCUUGAUUGUCUGUUUACUUUUCCCUGUCCCUUUGCCCAUGUGGCCAAUGUGAAACUUAUGCUUCUGGAACAGUCAGUGUAAUUCUGAUUUCGAUCUUGGAGUAGGGCAUAUAGGUGCAGUGGUACAGCAGGUAAUAAUAUUCAGCAGAUGUUAAUGCAUUAAGCAUGGGAAUUCAGAGGCAGGCUUCUCACUUUUAUUAUUAUUACCACACAGUUUUUAAGUGUCCCUGCGUUUUCCUAGGCAGUUAUCUGGAAUUUAUUGAGUGGAGUAAAUUCAUUUUGGGUGUUUACAGGCAGAAGUGACAAAUGUGAUCUGGUGCCAUUGACAAUUACUUGAUUUCCUUCCUGCUGAUGAAUCCAAAACAACUUUUGAGAGCAAUAUGAAAUUAAGUUAUGACCAAGGCCAGCCACUGUGAGUUACACUAAAACCAAGCAUUUGCUUAAACCCUCAGAGCUGCAGAAUUUCUUACAGAGACAUUCUGACAACAGAAAAAAACCCCACCAGAAUGUUACUGAGCUUUAUGCCUGCAAGAACUUAAAUGAUUUUUCAGAUAAGCAGAAGUGCAUAGCUUGCUGAACAGAACAAAGAAGAAACGUGGCUGGUGCUCAUAUUGAGAUGUCGCUUCUUAGCAUACCAGAAAAGAGAGUUCUUGGGUCAUCCUAAAAUAUUUGGCAUAAGGGGGUUUCACUGAAUAUUAAAGAAGGCUCUGGAUUUGACAUUGGUAUUGCUUGGACUGUUUUUUUUUAAUAUGGUCAGUGAGUUUGUGGAGCUCGUUGUGUUCUUGCUGUAGGAAGAAGGAAGGUGAAGUUUGUAAAUAUGUAACAAAGGCUCUGAAAACAAUUUUGGAGGACUUUGGAGACAAAGAACAGAGGAGGUUGUGCCAGCGGGAGUUGCAAUUGCAGCUUUAAGCCUGUCACCUCCCUGAGAGCCAGGAAGUUGCGCUCUGAGAUAGUGUGGGGUCAUGUUGAAAGUGUGAGUAUAUUCAGAGAUACGGGAAUUUUGAGAUGGGGAAAAGUGAUACUGUGUUAUGGCCAUCAGGCUCAUUUUUUCACUUUGCUUCACUGGAGCCAGAUUUGACGUUUGAACAACUCCUGUAAUCUGUCACUUUAUUGACCUUAAUAAUCAAACUUUUAUUUUCUUUUUGAUCCUUUUUGUCUAUUCAGAUAAAACUUCAGGGAAAAGGCAGUUUUGCCAUGCAUUGCUACAGCACGAAGCACAGAGGAAUCCUAAAUUUGAACACAGUUUGGAAGUUCUGUAUUGAAAGAGAGGAGUUCACCAAAAAUAGAGUUGAUGCAAAUUAUUUUGCCUGCUGAGCUGUAGCAGAUCUUUAGGAAAAGUUUACAGAGAGAGCAUUGGCUCUACUUGUGUAAUAUUCUGUGCUUCAGUAGUUUGUGACCCCACAUAUGUUCUGCUUCAGGCUUGAUAAUUAGUGUUGCCAGUGGCUAUCACUUUCUGGGUAAUAACUCACGUCUGUCAUGGACUAGAGGAUGACAAGCUUUUGUUCCAUCUGAGGGCUGCUGUGCAUCCUCAUACCACUGUAUAUAUGCUACUUAAAUAAUAAUCAUCUCUCCCUGGUUUUCUUGCUUUUACUUUUCCAUGCCAGCGAGUGUCUUUCAGGGUUUAAGAGAGUGAGUGGGUGAUACACUUCACUGGGGAAUGAGGACUGUUAAGAGGAGGUCAUGCUGUAUUGUGCUACAGUAUUUCUUUAUCUAACUUGGGCAGACAAGACUUCCUGUCACCUAGGGAACAUAUUUUGAACUCCUGGAGUGGGAAAAAAAUGCCUCUGUGCCUUCAGAGUCAUGUCAUCUGGCACAAUGCAACAUGUAGAGCUUAACGGGAGUAUUGGCCAUUGGUCCACGUCAGCACACAGACCAGCCUGUAGAGUUUCGGGUACCUUGCAGGGAGCUUGUUUGCAGAUGGUGCUCUCUGCGUUUGUGCAGCACCAGUGGCUGGGAGUGGGCACACAGGUGGCUCCACGCUCCUGGUUUUCUUGGGGGAAAUAUUUACUGUCACCAAAUCCAGUUGUGACUGGCUAAAGAGUAGAGGGCAUAAAAUGGAGAGGAGGAGGAUGCCAUUAUCAUAAACUCUAAUUGUAAAUACUCCGUCAGCUUGUGUUUACCCUUUUCUGAAGCCCAGUCAAUAAGGAACAAGCAAUGAAGAAUAAGCAGAAGUUAUGAGUAAGACGUACAGUGUAACCGAGCCCUAAAGUGUUUACAAGAUCACACUUUGAUUCUUAAACAACUGCUUAAACAGAUCGUUUGUUGAUAUAAGGACAUUUCUUGAGUUUGAAAAUGAUUUACAAUUUGUACAGUAAUUGAAGUGGCAGUUGCUUCAUCACACUUAAAUUUAUUGAUUCCAUCAGUACAUUGACCUCCUUUCUGCUGAACCACCAGUUUGAAUGUCUGUGCUGUGUGGGAUAAAUUAAAAUAUGCCAUUUACCUAACUGUGCAGGACCCAGUUUUCUGCAAUAAAUAAAUAAAUGAAAGCAAACAAACUAGUGGAAAAAGAGAAAUCACAGGAUAAGUGAUGCUUUGGGUCUCUUUAAAUUUGAUGGAUUUUUCAAGCACCUUUGUGUUUAUCAGAGGAUGCUUUUUCUGCAGGUCAGUGAUAGGUGCUGAGUUUACUUGCUCUGUAACAGUGGUCACCAUCCGUAUUCCAGCAGUUUGAAUAAGCAGAAAUCCAGAAGAAUAUGAAAACUAUUAUAUGAAUGAGAGAACAAGUCCAGCUGGAAAGUUAUUUCUGUAUGAUUCCACUUUCUAUAUUCUGCAUUUUAAAUAAUAGUUUCUGCACUUUUAUUUCCCCUCAGAAAGAUCGCUUAUAGUUGGGUGAUGCUCAAAGCUGCAAAAUAAAAAUGUGAAGCAUUGGCACGUAAACUCAGUGGAACUGAAGGAGAGAAAUGGCAGAAAACCAGAAAUCUCCCUUUGCUUCUGUUCUGCUGGGCCAGCAGCUCCCUCUUUCUGUGGCCUCUCCAGUGCGAGCUGUGCUCUACUGCAGUUUGCUCAGGCUUGUCUCACCUCGGGGAAGUUAGUGGCUUUCUGCACCAAACUGCCUGGAAGAGCAGGAGCUGCUGCCUUGCCAGGAGCAAGAGAUCCUCCGUCUCUGUCUGCUCCCUGGAUUCCUGGCGCGGUUCAGCUGGUGGCAGUUCCCCUGGACAGUGCGGGAUGAGAGCUGGUGAUCUGCCAUGGCACAGGGCGCUCUUCUGGCUUGAGCAUGGCACUAAGGAACGAACAUUUUGGCUUUUGCUGCGUGUCCCUUAGAUUUGAUAGGUUUUCUGCUUUCUCUCCUUAAUCACUGAUGAAAGUCAGCCAAACUGAAAGGACAUGUUUUGCUCUUUGUAGCUGGGAAACAGAACAAAACAAAGUAAAGAUUUGGCCCUUGGGAUGACUGAAAUGAGAAUAACCUAUCAUUUUGUGUCUGGUGGCAGGAUAGUUAAUAUUUUUACCAUUGAUAGCAUAUCCUGGGCUAAUGGAUGUAAAGCUUCAGCAGCACCUGUAGGAUAUUCUGACCAUUUAAUCAUACAGUUAUGAAAAAUAAAGGUCUUCGAUUACAACCAAGGCUCCAUUUAAUGGUACUGAGCUAACAUUCAAGGUCUCUUAGCAGUACUUAGAUACUAGUAGGUGAAGUAUUUUAAAAAGUCAUCUUAGGAGCACCAUAUUUUUUACAGCAUGAUUUGUGCCUGGAUUAGCACAAAGUGAGUUUUGACAUGAUUCCAGGAGCACCUUUUCAUGGGCUUUGGCCCAGGCAUGCCGUGCUUUCACUGGAGUGAGCCUGGACGAGCUGAAUGGGAGAAAUAGAGGUUGGGAACCGUCAUGCUCUUUCCAAAAGGUUUUUCAAGCAGGUUUAUUUUCAUCCUAUUGCAAGAUGGAAACUUUUGGACACAGAACCUGAUUCAGAGACCAAAGGGAUCGCCUAGCUCUCAUUUAUUAAACUGUGAUGUGAGUUGGGCCAUAUGGCACAGAAGCAGAACAGGGGGGUUGUGAAGGUUUUUCUCUGGGGAUCCAGCUCCUGUUCUGUGAUUACGGUGGAGUUAUUACCAUUUUAUAGUGCAGACAUGCUCAGAUGCUGUACUGAGAAGUGCGCUAUAGUAUUCUGAAGUGGACUGCAUUAAUUUCUUCUAUAGGACAACAAAGUCUUUGGCCAUAGUAUAAGCUUGGCCUCUUGUCAUCUUUUUUGAUUGUGCUACUCUAAAUUUGGACCAUCUGUGUGGCGUUCUAUUAGUGUUGUUGCUCAGAAGUUUACAAGCUUUCUAACAGCCAAGUGGAAAGGGCAUUUCUCAUUAUUGUACCGAUGGUUGAGACAUUACAUGCUUGUUGUUAUGUUCACAAAUGAGUGUACAGAUUUUUGGCAAAACCAAGGAGUCAGAUUCACUCAUGCAGAUUAAGGUCUUAUUACAAUAUGUCCAAGGGGGUUGUGUACACCCAGGCUGAACCACUGGGUCUUUCAUGUGAAACGAGGAGUAGGUUUUAGUUAAAUUAUAGAAUUGGCAUAAUAUUUUAUCAGCCCUUUCUUCUUUUCAUGUUUUCAUCGGUUUGAUUAAAGAAGAAAACAGGAUCUAAUUUAAUUUCCCUUCCUCCUCCCUGUAAAAAUCUGUUUUACUGGCAAAUUAGAGUGAUGAGAAUUUCUGAAAAUUUUAUCAAGCAAAUACUUUCCAUCUGACAAGGCUGAAACUCCAAAGUUGCCAGGAAACUAGGAAGCCAGUGUGACGUUAAUUAGAGGAGAUGGUCUGGCUCUUGCUUUUGCCAUCUAACUCCAUUUUUCUAUCCUUGCAUCAUUUCACAGAGAAAGCCCAAUAACUAUUUCAGGUUCAGUAGCUAGCUGAUUGUCUUGUCUUUUAUAUUGCAUAGCAUGGAUUAAAAAAGAGUUUAUUUUUAGAAGUAUAAUGAAAUAUUUGUCUGUGCUACCUAUGAAAAUGCAAUAAACUUUCUAGAUUUUCUGUGGCCUAAGCUUAAAUGAGAGAAGGGGGAAUGGUGACCAGAAGAGUGGCUGAGCACAUAAAAACUGCAAGAAAUACCUUCCAUAAGCUCAUUGUUAUAAUUUUAUUAGAACGAUGAUUAGGAACCAGUAUGAAUACUUUGAAUACAGUAAAGGCUAUCCUUCCCACCUCUUUAAUCCUUACGCAUCUCCUUAAAUCAAGUAAAUAUGCCUGUAAUUUACUGUAUUGAGUGCAUUCAGCAUAGUUGCUCUUUGACAAGUAUCCAGCUCCAUUCAGUGCCAGCUACUUCCUAACCAAGUAAUAGAUGAGGCUGGAAGGAGGCUGCUCAGCAUCCUCUGCUUGACGUUUUGCUGCUGGGUAAAGAGGUGUAAGGGGGACAGAUGCAGAAUAAGCAAGAGGAGGAAGGAUGCUAUAGGAGUGUGGAUGCUGGGAGGUUGAAGGGCACUUCAGCCGCUUGGUGUAGGUGUUAUUUAUACCUUUUUCCUUAAAGGAUCAUUGCUUACAGUGCAUAAAUGGUGAUUAAAGCAGUGGAUUUAGUGUCGGCAGUUGCAGUGUUGAUACUUGUUUCAGAUAAAGUGAUCCACUAUCUCCCUGGUUACUGAUUGUAGGACAGAAUUUUUAAAAGAGGUGGUUUUGGAUGCAUCCAUGUUGUCUUUGUUACUAGCCUGAAUAUUAGUUACUUUUUUUUUUGACAUUUAGCUGUCAUUGCAGUGACCUUGUGAGGUUUAUAAACACCUGCUCUCAAAAAAACCCAAACAAUGAAUUAAGUAUGAAUUUAAGCUGAAGCUUCUUUAGUCUUGGGAUCACAGGGAGCAACUACAUUCAUUGAUCCACAAUGUGGGUGUAUUAGGACUGCAUCUUCUACAAGGAGAAUUAAACCGGAUAUUAGGGAUGAGUUUAACCAUCCUGUAGAAAAACUGCAAAAUAGUCUAAGUUUAGACUGUGCCAUGAAGUGUAUCCAUUUUUCCUGAAGUAUUUUUAUGGAAUGUCUUGAGAAUUUUGGUUAGAAAUUUGACUUAAAUGGAAUCCUUUAAGUCAUAGUAAUAGCGAUCCUUUGUGUUUAAUGAUAGAUGGUUUAGUUUUAGAUCAACAGAAGCCAGAUCAAAAUGGUCAAUCUCUGGAAUCUUGAGCUUCUGCUUUGAAUCUGUAAAAUGGGAGUAACGAUGGUUCCUUACGCUCAUAUAGUUAACCUGAAAAUAAAUUCAUCAACAUCCAGUUGCUGGUGAUGAGAGGCCUACAGGUAGGUGGUGGGAGUGUUGGUAUUUGGUAGGGUUACAUACAUACUAUAUCCAAUUGGAUUCCCCGGAGUACAUAGUGGUAUUUUUGAGGUUUUCUAAAGUUUGGUACUAUGGACUACACUGAGGUGAAGGCAAAAGUGAGAUCUGAAGUUCCUGUUUUUCUUCAAGACUAUCAGUUCAUGUGACUCUUCCUUUGGAACUUGAGACUUUUUCUUUCCAACCACAGUCCAAGUUUAAACAAAAGUGAAAUAAUGUUUUCCGUUGUCUCCCAGUAGGCACUGGGCAUGCAUUAGAUAUGUGCCUGCACCUUGAUUAUGUUGUAUGUAAUGGCAAUAGCUCUGAUUUGUGUUAGCGAGCUCAGCUGUGCAGCGUGCAGCACACUCCCGCUGUUCGCAGUGCCCUGACCACAGCUCAGAGCAUUCCGUGUGGCCUUAGGAUUGUGUGACAAAGCUGAAAUGCAUUGCUGUGCUCAAUACUUAACUUUUCAUUAUACUGUUUUUUUCUUUCCAUCUCUCUUCUUGGUUAACUUUUUGUCUGGCUUUGGACUCUGAAUAUUAUCAGGUCCAUAACUAAUUCUACGUUGCUAAUGAAGUUUUCCAUUACCUGUCUACUGUGUAUUCCCUAAUGGGAAGCCUUCUAGGAGUAGAAAGUUUCAAUCUCUGAAGAUCUGGUGGGACAAGAAGACUUUUUGCAGCCAAAUUAAUUUUUAAUGGCGCAUUGAUUCAGUGUCUAGAAGCUCACAUGUCAGACUGUGAGACUUACCCUUUGACCCAUCCCUAAUGCAUUUCUCUUUAAUUUCUCUUUAGCAGUCACUGAUUUUUAUUUUUAUUUUUAUUUUUAUUUUUAUUUUUAUUUUUAUUUUUAUUUUUGUUUUUGUUUUUGUUUUUUUCUUAUUUAUUUAUAGCCUUGAAUGUUGCUGCUUUGCUAAGUUUUGUUUAGUGAGAGUGGAUGUUGUUGCUGAUCAGUAAAACUGGUGAAUGCUGACAGUUCAGUGAAACUCCAUCCGUCCCUGGUGUGCCCUCACAUGCAUGAUGCUGCUGUUGUGUCUGCUGACAUACUCCAAAGCAGAACUGGUUUUAAGAAAGUGCCAUACCUAAUUUAACUUCCACAUUUAGUGUGGAAUAGCAUAAAGCGCUCUACUACGGAGCAGGAGCUGGCACUGGUUUGGUUUUCCAGGCAGGCUUAAAAGAUGCUGGGAGUGCAGACUUUGGGAUGCUGGUGCUGGCUGACCUGCUGAGUUGUUGUUGCUGUUUCUUAUUGUGCUACCACAGUGUCUGAGCAUCCCAGGAAGGGAACAGAACAUCUUUGUUCUAUGUGCUCUGUACACACAACAAAAACAUGGUUUGAGGCAACACUUUACAAACUUGUAUGAAUCAAAUUAAUUUUCUAAAAUUUAUGUGUAUUUAGAUGAACCUGGCUGCCUUUUUCUUUUUUUUUUUGAUGCCCCAAAUUGAUAUGCUGCUUUUUCACCCUUUCAUAGACCAAGGGCCUCAUAAAUUAAGAUAGCAAACCAAAGAGUUAAUUAUAAUAAUAUAUCAACACCUAUUUAAUUAUUACAAAUAUUUAAUAUUUUUGGAUACCCACUUUGAGGGUCUUUUAAAACGGAUCAUUUGAAAGGACUAAGAACACAGUACUUUCUAAAAAUUAGGUCUAGUUAAAAUUGCUUCAAAUGGAAAUAAGUACAAGUCAGCUUAUCAGCCAUGGCUAACGAGAUGUAUCUCAUCAUGUUGCUGUCAAAGUUAAUACUUUUGAAAGAAUCCCAAUAGUUUACAAAUUACACCCCUAAAGCAUUAAUUUAUUUAUUAUUGUGGCCCCUGGUAGAGACAUACUUUGCCUUUCUGCAGCUUUAUCUCUCUAAAAUGAGCACAAUGGUAUUAUUUGGUAUUAAACUAUAUGUUUCCUGUGGGGAAUGGAAACCAGUCGAUUGGUGGUAGGAAAUUCUGAUGGGCUCCCCCUUUGCACGUUCUGUGUCUUAAAAGAGUCCCUCUGCCACAUUGCUUUUCCCAUAAGCUGAAAUGUUAAGCUGUUUCCCUGUCUCGUUUUGAUGCCUACUUUGUAAAAUAUUCCUGUUAACAUCACAUUUGUGUCCUGGAUUGUAUCUAGGGCUGCUGUGUAGCUGAGAGGUACAGGCAUUUCAACCCAGAGUGAGUUUGUGGCUUGUAUUCAUAUUCAAAUUUUAGUAUCAUCUAUCUAUGAAAUUAUUCAUCAGAUUUCUCUGUGAAUGCUUUUAAUGGUUUAAUGUGUUCAGCUGAUAACAAACUGCAUGCCGAAACGCAAUGUUGCUCUUUUUAGACUUGAUUAGACUCUAUCCUUGAUUGUGAUUUAAUGGCUGUUCACAAGCUUGUUCGCUCUUGCUGUUGCAUAUUAAGUACCAAAGUAUCCAACCAGGUCUGCCAAAGUCUUUCAAGAGACCAUGGUUUCUCAAGGGAGAUGAAAAGCCCUAAGUAGGCUAGCGUUUUGAUUCAGGACUUGGAUUGUAUUUGAUUGUUCUUGGUCAUGAAAGAUUUUGUCUGUAAAUCCCUCUGGAAAUAUGUAAGUGCUCAAAGACCUGUCUCAGUGCUGGAUUUUACUCUGCUAAAAUGCUAUCAUCUAAACAAUCAAACAAAAGCAAUUAGCACAAGCAACAGCAGUCAAAACAAUUCCAAAUAUGUUUUAUUCACCUUCACCUUUUCAUUUCCCAAACGCCUGUCUGAGCUAUUGUGCCAGAAAGAGCAAUGUGUGAUUAGAAGUCAGCUAUUUCUCAUAUGCUUUGUGCAUCAUCUCUAACAUCUUGUAUUUGUGUAUGAUGGGUGCUUGCAUGGCCCAUAUUACUAUAAUCUCUGCUUUUUAGCACAGGCUGUUUUUCACUGUGCCCUCACAGAAGUACUGAUAGACCCAGCUCUCUAACAGGCAGAUGUGGGGAUUUCCACAAGAAGUCUACAGAGCAAGGGCUUGAUCUGAGGUCCUACGCUAAUGCCAUUGCCAAAGAAUCACUUUUCCCAUACGUCUCUAGUCUCCUCUGUUUAAAUUAGGAGAGGAUUAAUAAAAGUGUGAUAGUGAUACACUAGUUAGAGGAUUGUUUAAGCUAGGCUUGAAGUUAUACCAUAUGCUUGAAGAGCACAGUGAAGGAUGAAAUGUCUUCAGUGGUUUUCUAGGCAAAGGGUCAGAUGAGGGGAGAUUCCAACUGGGCAGUGGGAAUGUGGGACCACAGAAGUAUGUUGAUGUCUUCUACUGAUGUCCUUCUCUCCUUUGGCUAAUGUGUCUUUUAUGAGCCAUAGUGAACCUAUGUUUUCUAAGGAAAUAUCUGUAAGAAUAAAUUAGCUUUUAAGCUGUGGUUGAUGGCACCUGAACCUCAGGUGCCAUUGAGAGCAGCCUGUCAGCAGUGGCAUGUUUUAAACCAGAGCUGAUGUCCACAUUCUGCGUUAACUGUUGCUUUUCUAAAGAAAGAACUAGUCCAAGGGUUUGCCAGUGCUUUUUUAUACCAGUGAGUCUGUAUUGGCUUUGGUGGAAUUAUUUCUGCUUUACUCUUGCUAGCUGAGAGUUUAGUUGCCUGUGCUUCUCUUUUCUGUUCUCAUGUCUGGCUGUAGUUAAUGUAUCUGCCAUGAGAUUAUUGCAAGAUGAUGGUUUCUUUUUACUUGAAAUAUGAACAUCAAGUGAGUGCUUUUGAACUGCAUUUUAUGUGUUUAUUAAGCAAAAUAUGCUUAUUAUUUAAAAAAGAGCAAAAGAGACAUAACACCUAGAAUAGAAUUAACUAUUUCAGCUGGAAGGGACCUACAAUGACCAUCUAGUCCAACUGCCUGACCAAUUCAGUGCUGACCAGGUUAAAUCAUGCUAUUAAGGGUGUUGUCCAAAUACCUUUUAAACACUGACAGGCUUGGGGCAUUAAUCACCUCUCUGGGAAGCCCAUUCCAGUGUCUGACCACCCUCUUGGUAAGUAAAUGCUUCCUGAUGUCCAGUCUGAACGUCCCCUGGCGCAUCUUUGAACCAUUCCCUUGCAUCCUGUCACUAGAUCCCAGGGAGAAGAGCUCAGCACCUCCCUCUCCGCAUCCCCCCUUCAGGAGGCUGUAGAAAGCAAUGGGGUCACCCAUUAGCCUCCUUUUCUCCGAACUAGGCAAGACCAAAGUCCCCAGCCUCUCCUCAUAGGACAUUCCCACCAGCUCUGUCACCAGCUUUGUUGCGCUGCUCUGGACACAUCCAAGGACCUGAAUAUCCUUCUUAAAUUGUGGGGCUCAGAACAGCACACAAUACUCGGGGUGAGGUCGCACCAAUGCAGAAUACAGCGGGACAAUCACCUCCUUUGACUGGCUGGUCAUGCUGUGGUUGAUGCACCCCAGGAUGUGAUUUGCCCCCAUAUUGAGCUGCUGGCCACCAGCGCCCCAGAUCCCUUUCUGCAGGGCUGCUCUCCCAAUUUAUACUUGUGCCCAGAGUUACUCCAUCCUAGGUGCAGAAUCCAGCAUUUGGACUUGUUAAAUUUCAUCCCAUUAAUCAUAGCCUGAUGUUCCAAUCUAUCUAGACCUCUCCAUAAAGCAUCUUGUCCCGCAAGAGAGUCAACAGCGUCUCCCAGUUUGAUAUGGUCAGCAAACUUACGAAUGGUGCCUUAAAGUCCUGCAUCUGAAUAAUUGAUAAAUAUAUUGAACAGGAAACAGGACUGGCCCUAGAGCUGAACUCAGAGGAGCAUCGCUGCUGACUGCCUGCUAGCCACGUGUAGUCCCAUUCACUACAAUUUUUCUUUUUUUCUUUUCAUAUAUCAGAAACUUUAUUUUGAGGUAAGUUUCAGCCAGAGAAGCUGGGUGUCAUAGAGCUCCCCUUGGCCAUGGCUGUGGGGAGCUUCCAGCUGUCUGUGAGAGCGUGGUGUGAUGCAGGCUGGGGCUGUCUGCUUCCUUGGCAUCAGGCCAAGGGCUUUGCAGAAAACUGCAGAAAUCUCCAGCUGAGGGGCUGAGGAGGGAGGGGACCAGAGUGCGCCAGGACUAGUUGUGUCCUUGUCUGGGCCUGAGGCUGCGAGAAACAGGACAACAUGUACAAAUAAUGGGACCAGCCACCCUUGGUCACUAUGGGCAAUGCCUGUCCAGGGUCUCCUAGACUCAGGCCAACAUGACAGCCCACUGUUCCUCUUGGCUGUGUGGGGGACAGGCUCUCUCCUGGGGCUGUGGUCACAUCACAGCCCCUCAUUGUCCCAUCCCAUCAUAGAAUCACAGAAUAGUUUGGGUUGGAAGGGACCUGCAAAGGUCAGCUACUCCAGCCCCCUGCCAUGAGCAGGGUCAUCUUCACCCAGAUCAGGUUGCUCAGAGCCCCAUCCAGCCUGGCCUUGAAUGUCUACAGGGAUGGGGCAUCUACCACCUGCCCAGGCAACCUGUGCCAGUGUUUUAGCACCCUUAUUGUAAAAAAUUUCUUCCUCAUGUCUAGCCUGAAUCUCUCCUCUUUUAGCUUAAAACCAUUACCCCUUGUCUUCUUGUAACAGACCCUGCUAAAAAGUCCAUCCCCAUCUUUCUUCUAGGCCCCUUUUAAGUACUGAAAGGCCACAGUAAGGUCUCCCUGGGGCCUUCUCCAGGCUGAACAACCCCAACUCUCUCCCAUCCCAUCCCAUCCCAUCCCAUCCCAUCCCACCCCACCUCAUCUCACCUCCCCUUGGGCUCCUCCUUGCUGUUGGGGCUGGGGCAGAGGGAGGCAGAGCCCAGCAUGAGGGUGCAGACAAAUAAAUAUGGUGUCUAAACAUUGGGGAGCAAUUCAGGUGUUUAACUUAGUGACCCAGUGCCACUUCGGCUGUCUGAAAGCCCAAUGUCCUAUGAAUAUACAUGAAAUUGACAGAAUAAAGUAAAUGCCUUUUUUAGAUCAGCCAGGUGGGGCACACUAAGGCAUCUGAAAUUGCACUGAAUACUUUAAUUCCAGUUGUAAUGCCUGGAACUCCGCUGGCUCCAUCUAUGGACAGUUAGCUCGCACCUGGCUGCACACCUGUGCUUGGGAAAGGUACCAAGCUAACCAGCCUUUUAUUAAGCAUAUUUAGAGAUUAAAUACAGAAAGUUGUGCAUGAAGGAAUGAUUUUGUUGUAAUAAGUAAUAUGAUAAAUACCAGUUAUCAGGGAAAAGCCAUAGGAAAGAUGCAAUUUCGACCCCUGCUGAGGAGGUGCAAUUGACUUGUUUUGAAAGUAGUCUUACAAGGAGGCAGGUUCUUGUACCCUGAUUUGAAACACUUGCAAAGAUUAAGAUCUCCAACAUACGCUUUUCCAUCCAAGUGGCUCUUCUGUGCUUGUAUUCAACCCCAUGCCUUCAUCACUGCCUGCUAAAAGUCCUUCAUUUUUCCAUGGGGAAAUAAUCACCAGCUGAAGUGGAUCAAGAAUUACUUUUACGUGGAUCGUACUCAGCAACAAGUUUAAUUACAGCUGAAGUGGCAGAUAUUCCCCUUGUGACACAUCCUCCCUUUAUUGGCACCAGAAGAAACGUUUAGCAGUGGAGCAACUCUCCACUUCCAGAAGAAUAUUCUGCUUUUCUGCUGCUCUGACCAGGUGACUUACGUUAGCCCAGCUGCACCUUUCAUCUGCCUUUCAGGAGAGGAGCAAUAAAUAUCUUGUGAUUUAAUGCAUACCCAGCACAAGGACUGGGUGUGGGAUUUUAAAAUCACCAAAAUAUUCUGCAAGCUUACAUUACGUGAUAGUAUUUUAUUAAGGCAGCAACUCUGGAUUUUGUUAAGAUUGAAUGUAGACAUUUUUAUUACUUAUUAAUCAAAUUCCAGAUAUGUCAAGAACAUGAUUUAAUUCCUACUUAAUAAUCCUCUAAAUGCAAAUAUUGGAACUCUUUAAAACAAGCUAAAUAUUUUUUCACUUGAGCUUGAUGAAGCUGAUUAAGAAUUACCUGCAGUAAGUUGUUUUAGUUCCAGAGUAGACUAUCUGUUUAGUAAAAUAAAUUACCGCCUCAGGGGAGUAUGAAGAGAAACACUGGAACAUACUAAGGGCAAGAUUUUCAGAAGCAUUUUGCAGUGGCUUAACUCUGCCCUGAAUUUUACCCUUCACUUCAAAUGGAGGAAGGUGAGGCAAACAGCCAGUGUCCAUCUUGGAUCAAUGGUGCACAGAGAAUGCAGAAAUAUUUAUUCUGGAUGUUCUCUAUACAAUGCUUGUUCAGCAUUGCUAUGAAUUCCUAGCUGUCUUCUGCCAAAGGUAAGGACAGGUUAAACUAAGUGAGCUGAAAAACAGCUGUUACACUCACUGGCGGUACUUUAUUGUCUGUGUCUUGUUAGCUUUUUGUUGGAUUUGGCUUAGCUCCUUGAGAAACAAUCCCAUCUCUAGAAGAAAUAAACCUCAUGUUACCACCUUAAAAUAAUAUGAGAAGUACUUGAUUCUUCUUGCUACAUUCUUCUCAUCAUCUUCUCUCUUUAAGCUGUGUUGUUUGGCCCUUUCUAUGUCAGCUGCUUUCUAUACUGAACCUGAUACCUGCAAUAUUUUUCAUUGCCAUAUCCCCCUAAUAACUCGAGCAUAUCACAGUGCUUGCCAGAAGCCAUUCAAGCAAAACAUUACCAGUUUAUGAAAUAUCUUUAAUUAAUAAACUCAUGAGGAACAAGCAGUGUUAAAGACUGUUCAGCCAAACUAAGCAUUGUGCCGCUGUUUUUAUCCACAGAACUCCCCUCCUUCGUUUGCCCGAAUCUCUGUUGAAUCAUAACAUCAAGCUGCGAGUCCUUCUGAGGGUGGGAGAUUCGGGUAGUUUGCCAGGGGGCUUGGCCCCACCCCGCCUUCUGGAGCCUGGGAAAUAAUAAACCAUGCUGGGGAAACAAUGUGGAUCCAAUUUGAAGUCCGAGAAGCGAGGACGUUGUGUGGCGUAUCAGAAAUGCAUGGCUUUUUAACCCACUUUCUCAUGCCUUGCUGUUGCUGAUGUCCUUGAGAGCUCAGUGAUCAAACAUGACACACAACACGCACUACCUCAGCUAAGCACGAUGUUGCAGGCCUUAAAUUUGAAUUUUCCACGGUUUUGUGAUAGACAGAGCGUAACUGUGUUGGUCCUGCCUCACAUGUGCAUAUUGUGUGUCCGGGAAGGGAAGGCACUGGGGCUUCCCCAAUGUCCCGCGGCUCCAGCCUCCCAGAGAGCAGUGCAGGGCUGGCAAACAGCCACGCUUUGCAAGCUUGUGUUCCAGCAGCUAUUCACGGCCACCUCUUCUGCAGAGUGCCCAGACCGCAGAUUUAUUAGUUUUUGUUAACUGUCUUUCUGGAUAUUGAUAAAAUACAGAGUGAAAAAUAUACUGAACAGUAACUGUGGUUUCUUUUCUUUUGGGUGCUGGAGUUGGGUGCAUCUCCUAAUAUGUUGCUGCUGUGGAGGCUUGGAGCAAGUAAAGCGUUCUCUGGAAGCUCACUGCUGGAGAAACUAAUUGUCAUUACCUUGAGAAGUGAAUAUAUUCAUUUCAGGACCCUGCUUAUUCAGUGUCCAUAUGGAAGAAAAGAGAGCUUUCCAUGCAAGAUCUUUUUCAUGCAGAUCGAAAAACCUCUCUCCACAGCUGUCUUUUCUGACUCUUAGUUCUGUGCUAGAAGCUCACAGAUAACUCUGCAUUUGCACGCUGAGAAGGCUUUCGUUAGGCAGAGGCACGAUAAGUGAGGUCAUCUGGUUUCGUGUCCAGUCCUUAACCCUGAAUGUCUUUGCAGCCUUAAAUAAAUCACUAAGGCCAACAUUUUUUGAAUGUCAAUGUCUGAAGUUAGACAUCCAAUUUUGUAGUUAAGCACGUAAGUAGGACUGCUCUGAUUUAUAUAGACAGUGACUCCCACGGUGUCUUGAUGUGUUAUAUUGUGUGGGGGUUUGUAGCAUUACUGAAAACUAAAUGUGGAUUUAGGAGUAUAAUGUAAGACAGCCAAGUUUGAGAAUGACAGCCUUGACCUACACAAACUUGAUUUAUUGCCCGUCUGUUAAGCGAACUGAAUAAGGUUUAACUGGCUGAAGAGGAUGCUGAGAGGACUGAUGGACAGUGAGUUUUCUGAUCACUGAAGUGUUUUGAUCAACCAGUAGCUGGUAUUUUCUGGUUUAUGAAUAAAGACAGUUAUUGUUACAAUAGAAGGAGGAAGAUUGCUUCAGAUGUGUUGCCCAAACGCAGUGCAGUUGACAUGUGCAAAUGUAGCAAUCUAAUACAUUUCUGACUAUCAAGCCUGUGCUGUUAAAAACAGCCUGGUUUGAUCCACUCUCCACCAAAAGAGAUGAACUGCAGUUUCUUAAUGAGCAGUUAGAUAGCUUCUUAGAGACUUGCGCAAUAUCAUACUGAUGAGAUAAGGGCUCCUUUGUGGUAUGCUGGAGUCAUAAGCCUGCUGGCUCCAUGGGCUGGAGCAGAAUGUUUGAGCAUUUUAUUAAAAAAAACCCUACUGUUUUCAUAAAGUUUUGGGGACAGAUUCCAAUCUUAUUUUCAUCACAUUUUUCUGGCAUAGAGAACAGAGGAGCUUACAGCUAUGCUGGGGCUAACUUCCUUUUCAUCACAUAGGGACCAAAGCCUAGAGCUCUCCUUUUAAAUUCCUCUGCUCCAGGUUUACAGUGGCAAGGACACGUUAAUCUUGCUUCAUAAUAUAAAGGGAGUAGGUUCCACGACGUACUUCAAAGGACUAGAUUUGAUGGCAGUAAGUACAAUUGCAGCUUUCAGCUUGUUACAGAGUUAAGCUCCAGAGCGUACGUGUUAAAAAGGAAGUUCCCACUGAAUGUAAUAUUGUUUGUAGGGAGAAGCGUCUUCGAGUCUAGUGUCCCGCUCCCUUCCGUUUCGUGAGUGCUGUGACAACUCUGCCCCUUUUGGGGCAGACCAAAGUCUGCUGCAACUUUGUGCGGAACAUGUAUCAAAGCCUACUUUUGUCUUGCUGAAUUCAAUGGCAAUUUAGUCUUUGGAUGCAGCAGCAGCCCCACUGGAUUCCUUGUUAUAAUUUAUUCUUUAAGGGGUUUAUGUCCAGAAGUACUGACUGCCCCUUGCUUUCAAUGACUUAAACAUGAGCUGCCUGCUUAUCACCCUUGGAAGGUGGGGUGCUUCCCUGCAGAAGAUUCCAGUUUAAACAGACAGACAUAAUUGCUCAGAAAAAAAGUGUCCCUUGGCUUCUGAUGAGACUGGGUUAAGUCAGGCUUGGUUUGGUUUGGUGUGCUUUGAUACAGGGGUGUGACAGUGCUUUUCACAUAAUUGGGUUAACACUGAAAGCGUCUAUUUUGAUUAAGAUGGUGCAGUUUAACAGGUAGAAAACCAGGACAGACAAGGAAUCAGUCUGACGGCCAGAAAAACAUUCUUCAAGCAAAUGGGUUUAUCAGGUACUUGAUCAAUCUUUCAAAGUCCAGCUCUUGAGCAGAAUCAGCGCAGGCAAUUGUAUUUUCUGAGGUUUUAAAUAAUGUAUCAGAAAGAAUCUUGACUUUUAAGAAAUGCACUGCUUGUGUUGUUUUCCCCUCUGAAGCCACGAAGCUGCUUUGCUCCAGUUUGGAUUUAGGCAUCUUGUGCAGCACAGGGCUGUGUGCGGUACACAACUGCUGGAAUUGUUUCUUUUUUUAACUAAGAGAUUGGCAGCCACUUGGAUGAGUCACAAUCACGAGCCUAAUUUUAGCUGGUAUGUAUGUAUUGGGAGAAUCUACCAGAGACAGUUGCAUCUCAAGUGUUGAGAGACGUAAAGUGAGUUUAGUUUUGGGGCUUCUUAGAAAUUGGCUUUUGUGUCUGAAUUCUGUGUCUUCUCUUGUGGUUUUGUACAGUCAUAUUAUGUGACCUUUCAGUUGGAAUUCAAGUAAUUCCUUCACCUUCAAAGAGUUUAUCAGGAGACGAUCUAGAGUGACAACAUCAAUACCUUGAUUGAUGCUUGUUGGGUAUGUGCUUGACUUAUGUUUGUGUUUUGACCAUAAUGAAGUUCAGAGUUUAAGCUGUCUGAAGUGUCCCAGUUCAUUUGUUGAUUUAUCCAGGAGCCUCUGCUGGUUUCUUGUAGCUGACAUGGGAAAGAGUGUCCAGGAAGAUGUGUGAGUGUGUAGUUUGAGAGGAGCAGAGUAUAUGCUGUGAGAGCCCUAUGGUUAUUCAGGCUGUGUAACCUGGCUGCCAGCGCUCAUGCCCCUAUUUAGUGGCUGUUGCUGUUAUUUUAGGGCAGUAAAGGUUGAAUGCUGCAUUUUGCUGCGUUGGUCCACCUGUAUCAAUGUAAUGCAACCUCUGGCAGGAGCUGGUUCCUACUUCUGGCAGCCCCUUAGGAAAGCAGCGUGAGCAGCGGUGCCUGCCUUUAAAUGCUGUGUAUAUGAGAAAGAAAAGGUGUACGCUUUUUAUGGCAUCUUGCUGUUCCCUAAUGCAUUAUUCCUCUUUCCUCUGAGGCGAAGGUGUCAGACUGGAUUGUGCAAGGAGAUGGAGGCCAAGCUGUCAUUUACUGCUCGUGUUCAGAAAACAGCCAUUAGCAGUACCCGAGUCCCUCCUCUGCUUUGUGUUCUGCUCAGCCUCUGUGUGCACCUAGGUAGUAAACUACCAUAUGUUGUUUAUAGAGAAUGCAAAGGCAGUGUAUCAUUUUCCACUUAAUCAGGAUGUUCCUAAUCGGGAAAUUGCCCAGAGAACUAAUUAAAGCCAAAUGUACUCAAUAACUACUGUUUAAGAGACACAGUAAUUCUGCUUAGCACAAACAUCCUCAAGUGAUUUACAGGUACCUGGGCCAUGUCCCAUUUUUAAACUGAACGUGGCCUGGUUUCUCCUAGGAGAGCUCUUACUUUUGUCUGAGUUAUGGUGCUGGGAAUGUCUGUACAAACUUCUCUCCCUGUCUGAUCUGUGUCGAAGCUCUGUGUUUUCUAGACCAGGUAGGCAGUGUCCUCCCUGUCCCAGCAAGCCCUACUCCGGGCAGAGCCGCUUCUUCCAUUACCCCGAGGAGUCUCAGGCUGUGGGCUGGUGGUGGUGAUGGUGACAAUCCCACUUAAACUUUGCUUAUGCUGAGCAUAAACACCUCCUGGCCCUGGACACGUGUUCCUGAUUUGUGCUGUUUCUUGUGUUGUCCUGGCAAACUAUUUGUUCAGCUGUGCAGCAGCUAAAUCUGGAUACUGAUCUGGCUGAAAAAUAACCCAGAGAAAGGGGGGGAAAAAGAAAAGAAGAGAGGUGUCUCAUCCAAAUCGGUUUUGUAGCCUGGUUCACGAUGUGGCUACAGAAACAGCUGUACAAGCACAAAGGAGGGAGUGGUGGGAAUAAAUGGGUGAGGUCAGGGAGAAGGGAGGCUAUUGAAGCCAGCACUGCUGCCAAAACGUUACUUGCCGAUUACUUCUCAGCUCCUCUGUUUUCUUGAACAUUUCCUCACAUCUGCUCUGUCACAGCAAACUCUUAUGGAUGUUACCACUUCUGCAUCAUAACAUAACAGCUGUACUGGUUCAGACAAAGACUUCAGUAUCUUGAAAUAUCCUGUCUCCAACAGUGGCCAUAAUAAGCAGACCCAGGGGGUAAGGAGGGGACAAGCAUGUCUGAUACUUCCUCGACUGUUCUCUCAGCCUCAAACAAUGUUUAGCUCAGGGGAUUUCCUGAACCCAAUAUGGUUCAUUUACACAGUAACUCUCAUUGGAUCUCUUAAGUACUUGUCCAAGUCAAGUACUCCCCUGAAGACCAUGUAAAGUCAUGGUGUUCAUGACAUCUUUUGGCAAGGUGUCUCACAUGUGGUUUUCCUACUUGGGAUAACCACAAAGUUCAUAGGCAGGACAGACCUAUAGUACCAACCUGGACAGGCCUGGGACCGUGCUGGCUUGGAGGGUGACAUUUGUGGGAACAGCCCAGGAUUGUCACACCUCUGCCCAACCAGUGCGCCCUUCAAACCAGGGCAGCUCCAACUGCUUCUCCAGUUGGGACUGGUCAUGGCUCACAAUGGCUCUCGGGCCGUGUCUAGGGAUUGUUGGCUGUGUUGGCGUGAGCCAAAUAAGUGUGGGGCCCCUCAAUGGCUCCCAGCUCAGGCAGAUGAGUUCCAGUGCUCCGUUCCCUGGUACUCUUUAAUUCACAGAAGGAGGUGCAGCCAUGAUGUCUUCCAUGAAACGCGUGGACUAAUAUAAUUGGGAUAUUCCUAGAUCAGCAUUUUUAACGUCGGAGGGUUUCAGGAAGAUAGUAAUUACCUAGAGGAGAAGAUAGCGCUUAUUUAGUGUGCUUAAAUGGAUAAUUGCAUGGAGCCAGGUUCACUGCCCAGUCCAGUCAUCUGUGACCUAUUGUCAUUAUUUUUACUAUUAUAUCUUUUCACCUAAUGUUGACUCACAGACAACAAUAUUGGAUAAAAGGUUUCUCUAAAGAAUUGGAAGUAUCAUGGACUUGGCAACACCUGCUGACUACUGCUCAGCAAAAACAAAAUGUUUUGGUUGUCUUAGUCCAGUGUAAGAAAGAAAGAUGUGAAAGGACCUUUUCCAUAAGGCAGUUAAGUUCUCAGUUGGUGUGCUCAGCUGAAGCGACCAGGGAGGAGCAUGAGGCUACACAUUACGUGUUCUCCUCAGAUGUGGAUGGGUUGAGUUUAUAUCUGAAAGCACACCAGCCAAUUGAAAAGCUUGCAGCCUGCAUCAGUUUUGUGGGCAAAUGAAAGUUUUUUACAUCCUAAUGCUUGUCUAAUUCCAUUGGGAUUCACGCUCGAUUAUAAACUGUGUAACUCUGAAUACUGUCAUUUUCUGUGUUCUUCUGUGCUGUGUGACCAAGUCAUUGAGUCGCAGUUCUGCUUCAGAAAGGUGAAUCUGCUGAGAUAAGGCCAAGAGGACAAACUAGGGCAAAUGUUACAUGUUUGUUUAUUGGUGUGUUUGGUGGAGUUUAUAGUUGUUGCUAGAAUGCACAUACCUGCUUACUGGGAUGAGAGGGAAAACUCUCAGUCUCUUUUCAUCUGAUGUUCAUCAUGUUUCUUACGAUAAUCCGUGCUUAGGCCCGUGAGACAGUCCUGGUUCGUGUGGUGCUGCCAGAGCCACCUGAGUUGCUUCGUCAAUGAGAAACACAAAGGGAGAAAAUAAAAUUACCUGGUAUUUAUUUGCACAUGAAAACCUUUGUAUGAAUAGGCUGUACAUCCCUUUCUCCUGCCCCCUUGGGAUGUGAUUCCCCCUUUGUAAGAUAUGAACAAUUUAUGUAAAUGAUUGUGAUUGCCAAACUAAUCAAACCAAGGACAAAAGCAAUCACAGGCACUCAUCUGGCAUCCAGCUUCCUGACUUCAGCCCCCGCAUUAACUUCUACUUCAUUAAAAUAUAUAUGACCCAAUUCAAGAGCUAAUUUGGACAAAACCAUUAGGCUUCUGUCCUCAUCACUGGUAGAAGUUUGAGGUUCAUUUUCACACACGAGUGAGCAGUUGCAGCUUUAAGAUGCAUGAAGGUUAUUGCUGUGUAUGUGCAUAUGAAAGGGAGAGGGAAAGUGGCAGUGGACCUACUAUUUCUGUAACGGCAUCCUUUUAUAACAUCUUAUUUGUGCUCCACCUGUGGAAUGCUGGGCAGGAUGUGAAAAUAUGUGGGCAAGUUAAACACAUGAAAGGAAAACUGAGCCUGUGAGAAGGGAGAGUGGCAGGAUGCUGGUGUUGCAUUAUAACUGUUGAGUGGCUAAUACAAAAGCUGGUGGUGGUCUCAGUGGAGUCCCACUGAGUGGAGGAUGUCUUGUCAGAUCUCCAGAGGUGUUUGGAUCAAGCCCAGAGAAUCUCUUAUUGGGUAGCUAUUUUAAAUGCCUUAACUUCAAAAGAAGCCCUUAGCAGGCAGAGUUUGCAAAAAUACUCAGAAGAUCUACAGGUUCAGAAUCUCAAGAUAUUUUUUAAUUCAGCAAAUCCCGGUAAUUUAUCCCAGUAACUCCCCGGUCUCAGGAAGGAUGCCACAGCUAGAUUGUGUCAGUAAUAUCUACCAGCAUGUGUGGCUGGCAGGGGUUUGUCCCCUGGAGCCACUAUCUGGGGUAUCAAGUCAGUCUCUGGACUGAUGGAUGAGUCGCUAGAAUCUCUGUUUUGUUUGUGCGUUUUAUCAGAGAUCAUCAGGCAGCCGUCAGUGUGAUUGACUAACUCCGCGCCAAAUGUCAGGCAAAAGGAGCUCAAGAGAAGUAGCACAAGUGACAGCUAAAGAAUAAGCAACAAUCUGUCUUUUCAAAUGAGUUGUUCUGCUGGCAAUUUGACAAAUUGUAUGGUGUAACUGAAAGUUCUAGUUAAUGUGUUACAUUACUUUAUUUCAAAAUAUUCUGUUAUGAAUUGCUUACAUUUAAAUUCUGCCAGAUAGAAUGCUUAAUGAUAUCGGUACAAAUACAAUAAAAUUGACAUAGAAAUGCUGAGACAGUGCAAGUCUUCUGAGAUUUAUUCCUAAAUAUUCUUGCAAAGUCCUGUUUCAGCAUUUUUAAAAAUAAUUGGACAUCUUUGUUUUCUACAAAAUAGAAUGUAAUAGGAGAGUUCUUCAUAUAAAUGGACAAGAAGGAGAAAGGGUGGGAUUGGAGACAAUUUGUUUGCCCAUAGAAAACCCCCUGCAAACUUUUGCUCAGCAUAUUUAUUUGGGUGCCAUACCACCUGAUUGAUCUGAUUUGUCUGCCUUGCAUGGGUAAUUCAUGUUUUUCCCAUCCUAAGAAAAUGUGACUUCUUUUUUCUUUGAGUUUGAUCAAAAUGACUCUGGUUCCAUGAUAUAAGGAUGACAUUUUAAUGGGACACGUGAAUAAAGAGAAUUUCCAUGAACUCCAGGUUUGUUGCACAAACAUACACCAGGAAUAUGGGAAGAAUUUUCUUCCAAACUUUUGUUUUUCCUGGCUGGUUAAUGCCUUGGAAGUGCUCACAGCUCUUAGGAUUGCCAGUGUUUCCCCAUGUUUUCUGAAAUUACUCUAAUUAUAUAAGAAAAUGUGAAUCGUGGUUAAUUGAGCAGUGGCUGUAUUAAUUCAUUAUGACCAUAUUUCAAGGUCUUGUAAUUUGUUUCUCACAGUCUGGCCAGUCAGUGACUUGUCCAUGGCUAGCUAAUGAUAAUAGCUUGUAAAAAGCUUUACUGGAAAAAUCAAAGUGUGGUUUUAAGCAUUUUAAGCAAUUGCAGUUUUACUGGUAUAUGUCCCUAUGGGGAUAUCCUUAUUCUACAAUGAUUUUUUUUUUUUUCCCCCAAACUGACAAAUCAAAUUUGUGACUAAUUUGAAAUACCGGGUGUUUCAAAAAUAUGGACCCUAUCAAGGACUCAGACUUGCUUCAAAUUGGGUCCUUCUUUUUGAAACACCCUGUAUUCUCUGAUUCCAGAGUAAGUGUCCCCAAUUGAAGAGCUCUUUCCAAGCACUCAAGUGGUCAUAUUUUUAAAACCUGCUCUGAAGGUGCUUUAAAUGUCCUUGUUUUAUUCUGCAUUGCAAAGGACUAGGAGCUUACAUUGUCAGCUACUGCGCUCGACUGAGAGUGCUACGUCAAUCACAUGUGAUCGUUAAAAAUGUCCAUUGUCCAUUAAAUUGCUAAUAUUCUACCCUGGGCUAAGAUUGUUUGGAUGUUUGCAGCAGCUUACAGUAUCUUCAUGGUUUUGGUUUCCUGUCAUGCUUGUUAGUCUGAUACAGUGUGAAGACACACUGUGUUGGCAGAUACCGAUGGCAGUGCAUCUCCUGUUUGUCCUCGUCACUGCUUCCUGCUCAUGCUGGGGGGAAGGUUUGUCCAGGUGUCUCUGUGAGAACAAGAGCAGACAGCAGGAACAAAUUUUCCUAUCACUUCUAAAAGAGACCUUGCAGACAGCAAAGGUCUUUUUUUGCACAUGACAUUCCUCAAGUUUUAAUCUCAUCCCCCAUCAUGAUAACUGCAUGGUUGUUGGGAAGAAGCACAAACUGCAGUUAUCAUCCUUAUGUUGAGGCUUGGGGCCAACACAGAAGAUAGGGAAAGCUCCUUGCUAGUUGCUCUGCUGAAAGCAAUGCAGCAUCUUCUGAGCGUCACUCUGCUGGGGCUGGAACGCUUCCUGCUGUCACAAAGGCUCUCCCUCAUGUUUUGUUCUGAUUUAAGCAUCAUUGGCACAAAGACAUGUGAUUUCCUUCAAUAGCGCAACUGAUGUGACCAAGUUUCUUCCUCAAAAUGACUGAUACUGGAGUUCAGAUGGGCCUAGGUGACUAUGGCCUAAUAUAGGUGAAAACGAGCAGAGACCAUUUAAAUAGAAGAUUACCAGCAAGUUAUUGCAGAGAAUAUAACCACUGCUUGCCCGGGAGGUAUUUAUCUGUUCUCUAAUAGCUGGAUUUGCAAUGACAUCUUAGUGCCUGUGGCAACUAGCGCCAUAUGAACGUUUUCUUUCAGGUGCAGGCUUUAUAUGUAAACCUCUGAAAGGCUGCGGUUCCCGCAGAAGCUCGCGUGUGCGUGCUGGAGGUGAUGGGGCUGUGCUGGCUUCAGCAGCCACAGCUGCAGCGGGGCCGGUCAGACCCUGCACGGCCAGUGGCCCCUCGUGCAUCGGCCACCUGGGGACAACCUGCUCUGCUGCUGGGGAGGCAUCUUCAGAGGGGAGGGGAAGGGAAGAGAGGGCUCCAAAACCCUUCCCUCCUCCCUGCCCUCCAGUCAACCCAUUUCUGUGUGGGGUUCUCCACUGAUGAGAAGCUGGCGUGUUUUUUGGAGGACGUAGCUGCUGGCAUAAUUCCAGAAAGUGUUAGACCUGUCAGUGCUUUUGAGAUCCGUCGUGGAGAGCUGUAGGUGGAAUCUCAUGGCAAAUGUUUAAAAAAGGAAGAAAAAGACAACUGCACUGACCUUGCUUCUCCUCCUCAAUUUAAACAAUUUGGAUGUUGACAUUUUCUGUUCCAUUUUCAGAAGGAGGGACACUAAUCCAGAGGUGGUGAUGAUAACAGUUGAUGUGUUUACUUUUGUUAUGUAGUGAGUGUUGUAUUGUCCUUUUGUUCUGUGAUUGAUGGUUAAAAAUAAAACUGUAGAUAGUUCUGAGAAUGCAGGGGAGUCUUGGCUAACAUACAUGUUGAAAUAAAAAUAUAGAUAGGCAAAAAAAUUACAUUCUUUUUUAGUGACUAUGUUUCUUUCAGGCUAAUUUUUCUAAGGCAGAUGAUAAAAUUAUGUUAUCUAAAUUCAAAGAACUAUAUUUAAAAUAUUUUAUUACUUUGUUGGUUACUCCCGUGUUACUAUGUGUCCCCAGACUUUUGAAACACAGAGGUCAUCUUAAUCCCACCAUUGCCUUAGUUUGCAAAUUAGCUCCUUGAAAUAUCAGCUGUAUGUGUUUUGCAUUUAAUAAAUUAAUUUAUUAAGGAACAAGAAAUUGAUUAUUCAAUUACUGUGGAUCAGGCACCAAACAUCCUAGUAUGUUAGAUGAAGCAUGAAGCUGAUCAAUAAAAAUCUAUUCCAUCAGCAUUUCUUAGCGGCGAACUAGCUGCUUGGGAACAAACAAAAGCACACACAUGCAAACCCCUCUCUCAUCUAAAUGUUUUCAGAUGCUGUGACUGAAACACAAAUGUCCUGUGUGAUAGAUCUGUGUAUAAUCAGGGAAUUUGUUAUGUAUGAAAUGCAACUUGAAUUUCAUUCCUGGGAAAAAAGUUAUAUACAUCUUUGUUUGUAUUAUGUAUAUCUGAGUGAGAUAUAUGGAUCCCAUGGGUAAGAAACACAUUAUAAAAUCUACAUGUAGAAAAUUUUUUUGUCUUAACAUUAAAGCUGUUUUGAACACUGGCAACAGUCCAGAAUCAAAACUGUCAUGGUUUGUAUGUGUCUGCCUGUUUCCUUCUUCGUAAAGAUCCUUUAAAUCUUUGCUUGAGAGCAGGCUCUUGCAGAUAGUUUAUAGGGAGUGCUGCCAAGCUCUUCUCAUAGUGGACAUCCUAGAGGCCACGAAAAACAAAACAAGUCUGUUAAGUUGGAAUUUAUGUGUGGGGUGGUUGCUCAACACUUUGCCCACUUUUCCGAGGGAAAGUGUCAAAAAUGUUCCAGUUGCAGUUGAUGGAAUGGAUUAUGUCUGACUAUGUACUGCCUAAGAAUGACAACAUAUAUCUGUUUUGGGAUGCAGGCAAUAGAAUAUAAUGACCCUGUCACCUUAACAUUCAUUUUCUUAACGUUGGUCCAUUUGGAUUCUAAACGUGAAGACAUCAGGCCAUUGCUCACUGUUGUGACUGUCUACAAAAUAAUGAUUGUGCUGAGCGGUAGUGUAAUGAUUGCACUUUUGUUUGCAUAUUUGUUCAGUAAUCUUCAUUUUGCAUUCUCCAGGCCAGGUUCUGCACUCUUCAAGAUAAAUCUCAGACCUUGGUUCUUUGAAAAAUAUUGAAUAUGGUUUGCAUAGUGUAUUAAGGAGAUGACAGUGCUCUUAUUCUAGUGGCUUCAGUGGAGUUCCUUUCCGUUUACACCUGAAAACUAAGAUCAGAGUCAAAUCAUUGGUGUUUGGAGCCCUAUUUUUAUUUUUUUCUUUACUAGAAUCUACCUAAUGAUAUUCAGCUGCUUGAAAACUUUGACGGCAGCCAAAGUAAGUAUUGCUUGGUGGUUUGGGAGUCUUUCCUAUCUUCCAUCAGUUUUAUUUUGAAAAUAAAAUUGUGCAAGCUAAUUUUAAUGCAUUUUGCAAAACUCUGCUGAUGAUUUAUGGUUUGUGUUACUGGUACAAUCUCUUCCAGCCUCAGAGCUCCCAGCUAGUCCUGGGAGAUGUUAUAACAGUAGAAGACUCUUUAUCCCUCUGUCUAUGAACCUGUAAAAACUACUACCACCACAAAUCUACACAGAUGGAAGAAGUAAAGCAUGUUAAACUCAAGGCAGAUUUAUGUUCCUGUUCAGCCAAACACUUCAGCAUACAUUUGUCUACAGACAUGGGUUUAAUCCAUUUUUAGUCAACAAGUCACUUAAGCGCAUGACUAAGUCCCGCUGCAUUACCACGGGAGGUGAGCGUGGGCUGACUUGGAGUGCUUCGCUGAAUUGGAGUCUGUUCCACACAGAAGUGCAAGAGUCUGAUGGUGUCAUGUGUGUGACGUUUGUGCCACUGUAGCUAGGUAUAAAGCCACAGACUACGGGUGAAUCAUCAACAUCACCACAGCAACAAAUUUCUUAACACUCCAAACCUUUUUCUCUUGUGAGACAGAAUCGCUCAUUACAUGACCUUGGUGGAGCAGUAAGGCUGUUUUUAUUGGAAUGAACCAAGCAGGGAGGCUCACAGGUAGAAUCACAGAAUGGCUGGGAUUGGAAGGGGCCUCUGGAGAUUAUCUAGUCCAACCCACCAGCUAAAGCAGGUUCACCUCAAAUAGAUUGCACAGGAAUGUGUCCAGGCGGGUUUUGAAUGUCUCCAGAGAAGACCUCCAUAACCUCUCUGGGCAGCCUGUUCCAGGGCUCUGGCACCUCAAAGUAAAGAAGUUUCUCCUCAUAUUCACAUGAAACCUCCUACACUUCAGCCUCUGCCCAUUGCCCCUCAUCCUAUCUUUGGGCACCACUGAAAGGAGUCUGGUCCCAUCCUCUUGACCUCCAACCUUGGAUGUUGAAGUUCAACUAGCAACUCUUCUUUGCACAGGAGAUCUUGGUUUGAACUUCGCAUCCUGUAGUUGCCUCCUGGCCAUUGCCCUGGUGCUCUCCCACACUUGCGGGCAGCCACAGCCGUCCCCAUGUGAUGGACGCGCGAGGAGAGGGGCACCGAGCUCCCUGCUGCUCCCGGGCACUCGCCUGCCAUCCAGAAAGGAGCAGACUUCAUUAAACCCACAAACAGCUGUUUAUCAGCGGCAGCUACAUCUAACUGCAGCAUGUAGGGCCAGCCAUGAAAUUAAAUUAUUUGAUAUACCAGAUUCUCAACUGGUGAGAUUCAGAACCUGAAUUAAUUACAACAAUGUAAACCAGCCAAGGGGAGGACCCAUCUUCCUGUGAGUGUUUUCCAUUUGGAGAGUUUGCUCACUGAAGCAGACAUUUGAAGUGCCUUUUUUUUUUUUUUUUUUAUUAAUAGCGACAUAAAUUGAUUAUUUUGAGAGAAUGCAAAUGUUCAGAAGGAACCCUUUUUUACCUAUUUUGGGAUGUGAAUGAUUGUACCAGAAACCAAGGCUGUUACUCCUUCCAGUCUCCUGCAGGGUGAUGAACUCUCUGGAAUGACUCUUGUGUUGUCCCAUUCUCCUCACCAGCAUGAGGGAACACUAGCAUGUUUCUGUGAGGACUCUAAAAAGAAAAGAUACUUUUUGAUUCUUUGUGCAGUGAUCCUUAGUCAAUAUGAGAUUCCUUAUGGGCUAUAGUUUGUUAAACACCUGUCAGACAUGUAAUAUUCUCUGCUUUGUUGAAUUCUCAAAAAAGGCAUAAGAUUCUGUUUUCAAAUUGGUCCUUUGAUAUUAUUUAAUAACCAUGAUGAGUCAAAGGUUUUAUGAGGCUUUUUGGCUUCAAUACGCGUUUCUUGAUGUGGAUGAAGGCACUUGAAGCUGAACUCAGAGCAAGGGUCAGAAGAGGGGUUGCGAUGAGUCGACCAUCAUGGGAGGCCUUUUUUCCCCCCUAGUAUUUAUUUUGGUAAUAGAGUUCUUGGCAGCGGCAGAGAAGAGAUUCAUGGCUGCUUGUGAGCAUGAAGGCAUCACAGGCGUGGCAAGGUGGGCUCCCAUAUGAAGAGUUGGCCAAUAUUAUUUCAUUUGCUGUGAUAAUGAUGGUUUAAGGUUUUUUCUAUUCUCGAAAAACAGCAGGAGGAAGAGAAUAUUAAUAAUUCCACUGAGAAGGUACUGCAGUGAUUAUUUCUCAGUUGAUGGCUCUUGCAACUGUACACCUUAUGUUAUUCUCCACCUCAACAAUUUUAUUUGGAAGUAGUAGAGACACCUCUAAAUUAAAAAACAAAAAACAAACAAACCAACCCCCCCAAAAAACAAACCAAACAACAAACCAACCCUGAAAUAAUUUGUUCUUGAAUGGGAGAGAGAGACCACAAAUGUCUGGCCACCUCAUAUUUGUCUUUGCUUAAUGACAGUCUUUGUCCUGGUGGUUAUCUUGUGGAUCUGACUAGGCUCAUUUCCCCAAAUUUAUAUGCAUCUAUAAUUGGAAAUUAAUGUGGUAGAGUAAUUCUAGUCCUGUUUCUGUGCUCUCUCUCUUAAUUAAAUUACUUGAGACGGUUUGAGGUGAGUAGGGGCAGUGCUAUCCAGAAGUUGUAACCUUCUGUCCAUCUUGCAGGAAAUAAGUGCUGUUCUGUGGGUAUCCCCAUAAAGAGUAAGAAGCUUCCUUCAGUUUAAUGGUUUAUGUUUACAUCAGUCUCUGUUAAACUCAGAUUCUGUGCCAGAAGAACGCCAGCUAGUACUGAGAAGCCUUUUCAAAUGCUCUGCCCAGCUCCUCCAAAAUACACAUUUUCUACUAUGAUACAGUCUUUGGUGUUUACUGACUUAACAGGCUUCAGCUGGCUUUGGCCUGCCAGUACUUCUGCAAUAGAAGUGUUAAGCACAUUGGCUCUGCAUUUUAGUUCUGGGAAUGAGAUUUUAUCCAACUUGCAAAUUCUUCGGUUUUGCAUACCGACUAUAUUUAUUGUUGAUAUUUUGAAUUUUUAAGUGCUGGAUAUGUUAUACAAUGACUAAAUAUUUGUAAAAUUUGCUAUCUGUCAUACCUAUUUUUUAAUUGGUUAAAAAAAGAGACCACUUUCAUUCCUGAGAACACUCUCUUCUUUGUUAAUGGAUGUGAAAUAAAGAGUGGAAAAAGCUGUAUGGUACAAAUCUCUCAAUACAAAAAUGCACAGGAGAAUUAGAGUACCUGUAAGAGGACGUUUUCCCCAGGUAAUAUAGCCCGUAGCUUGUUACUCUGCAAAUCUGUUAACUGUACAGCUCCAGGGACACAGUUCCAUUGUAGUUUUUGAUCAUUUGAAACAGUCAAGGCCUUUAUGACUGCUGGGUCUUGAAGAAUUAGAAGACUUUUUUUGUCUUGAAUUAGCCAUUACAUAUGUAGUUCAGCAAUAUUUAAAUACUACAUAAACUCUCAGAGCUUUCAUUCCCCUUUUCAUGUACACAUUAUAGUCAUUUUUUGAAGCAGAGUAGGCCUUUCCAGUCAGAAUAUAAAGGUUUCUCAAUAGUUCAUGUUUAAUUCCUGGAACGUAGAUUUCUAGGUAUAUUCCUGGAGAUAAGCCAAAUGUAAUAUAACAUUAAGGUUUUAUUUUCACUCCAUAUGAUUAAUUUUUUCUCAUGAUAUGGAUACAACUCAAAAUUUACCAGUUUCAAUUCAUCAGGUUGAUAGUGGCCUUUUCUCCAGAUGUGAUAUAUUGAGCUCUACAUGCAGCCGCCUUUUAACAUUUCUGUCUUCUAAAUUGCUAUUUAUGUGGAGACGACGAGUCAGUAGAAUCAGCUGGAUUCACAUUUUCCCAGGUCUUCAGCAUGGAAGACACUGGAGGGAAAUAAACUUGUGAGUGUCUUCUGGGUCUAACCAGCAGAAGUCGGUUAUUCUCUGCCUACACUAAUAUAUCAUAAGAUAUUCUUUGCUGUCCACAAGCUAAUAAAUUGUACUGUGUGCUAUCAGGGGAGUGUAAAAUAUGACCUCGCGAAUUUGAUAUCCUUUUAUACUGAAGGCUAGAUAAGACAUGGGUUCUUUAUUUACCAUGAGGAUUCAGAAAUAGUUUAAUAUUUAAUGGCAGCUAUUGAUUUACUAGGGCUUUUAUUCUAUCCUCAGGGGUUGGAAAGAGGAGUGCUUUUGCUCAUACAUGAAGUAACAGCAAACAAAAUUUUCAAAUCCCAGGCACAUCUAAAAAGUACAUCCCUAAAUCAGCAUAAUCUGAUUGGUAGUCUUUGGACUACUUCUGCUGCUUGCUCUUGGUUUUCCCAAGAGGAAUCAAGGGAGAUGGGAUUAGCUCCUUCUGCACAUGGAAAAGCACUAAGAUGUGUCACUCCUGAGUCAUCCUGGCCCAUGAGAAGACCCCCCCCCCCCCCCACCAAAUCUGGGACAUGUAGGACCUCUUAGAUAGGAGGUUUUAUCACUCCCUCUUAAAUAGCCAAGUGGCCCGAUCUGUGCUGGUGCUAAACACCUGUAGCCUCUUUCGUAAGUUUCACCAUGUUCAUAGCUGGGAAACAAGUUACUCAAGAUAAAUGUUUUCCUGCUUUAGGAGGAAGGUUUCAGUAUUUAGCCUUUUUUUCAAUGACUUGAUCAUAGGCUUCAGUGCGGUUUUCUGGAAUAGUCUUUUAGAUGUGUAAUCUCUUCAGCUGCUCUUAUUAAUAAUAAUUAUUAUAAUACCUUCCUUCCCUCCUUCUCAUAUCCCUCUCAUUUGCAAUCCCCUGAGCAGUUAGGGCUGCUGUUUCCUGCACACUUCUGAGUCAGCCAUAGCCAGUCCUGCCGAAUGAACACGAUUCCCCUCCACGCUGGUACUUUACUCUGUUGUCCAGAGCUGCCUCGAAGCGCAGGGAUGACCUGACCAGCCGUGUGCAGGCGCAGUUCGAAGCACGUAUCACUGUUCGGGUCCCAGAGUCUCAGCAGCUCCACGCUGUUGUGUCUCUGCCUGUCUUUAGGGUCCAAGGCUGUUCCAUUGAAGCAGGGUUCAUUUUUAAGCUUCGGAAUACGGUGAUGUUGCUGUUGUGUGGUUUUGCUCCUUAGUACGAAGAUGGCUCGUGUGACUAACAGUACUUUUGAUAAUAUGGGAAUUUCUGUUUGCAGGGACACCUUUCCAUAGACAACCUAGCAGGUUCAGUUUUUUAAAGCAGAGAGCACCUUUUUUGUAUGCAAGUUUGCUAAUGCAGCAUUUGUGUUGUAAAAGCAAUAGUGCAGGCCUGGCCCAAUUCAUUGAAGUAGCAGAUUUCAUGUAUUCUUUGUAUGUGCUAAUGCUAAAUAUUGUCUACUUCUUUAUCUUCUUAUAUGUCUAUACAAAAGGUGACAACGUAAGUUUAAAAAAUUGAACUGAUAUAAAAUGUUAAUUAUUUGAACAAAUAAUUUAGAGGACUAACUCUUCCAUGCUCAUUACCAAAAGAGGAAUAUUUAAAAUAUAUUCAUCAAAUGCUUUGUAAACUUUGCAAAACAAAUAGUUGUAUUUCUUUCAUGGUGUGGUGAUGGUUUUCUGUAGCUUGACUUAGCUCAUUGGGAGGAUCUGCUUUGUGAUGUACACAAACUCUAUAAGCCUCACUGGGAAUUUGGUCCAUUCAUGGAAGAUGCUUUUAAUUUAUUAGGCAGCCUGGUGUAUUCUUAGAAAGAAAACUUCAAGAUGUCUGUGAAGGAUUUGGUGUGUAUUGAAUGAGCACGUGAUUUGUGUACUGCAGAAAGAGAGGAACUGAUUUGUCUUGAGAUCUUUUGCCUAUACAAAAGCUUGCAAUAUGUUAACAAAUGUGAGAUAUUGUUGCUGCCACGUAUUGGAGGAAAGACAAACUCUGCACAUAUUUGGCUUCAAUUCUAGUAAGUGAUUUUUAUUAUUUCAAUUAAAUUAUUUGGUUUAUGUAAUUCCAUAAUGGUUUGAUAAUGCAGAGGCCUGUGCUGCACACCUGCAAUGUCAGCUUCAUGUAAUAGCUAUUAUUUGGGAGGAAUAUAAUAGAAAAUAGUAGAAUAAAAAAGAGAAUAUAAACUUGCUAGUUUCACCUGGUUGUUACACUGAGAGUUUUACAGUGUGCCUGUUCUCUAAUACAUUCCUGUCUUAUGCGUUUUGCCAACGCAUUCAAAUAAACAUCAUUUUGGAAGAAAAAAUGAUCAGUUUCUACCAAAAUAGCUUUUCAGGGCACCUCAUGUUGCUCGGUCCCAUGCUGGGAGUGCUGGCUGCACUUGAGGCAAACCUGCAGCUGUUCCCCACACCUUUUCAGGUCUGUGCUUUGUGGCAUUUGUGAUCUGCUGCCAUCCAGAUGCAAAGGUGUAUGGAUGAACGUGAAGCAAUAUUUAAAAUACCAGUUUUAGAGCAUGAGUGUGAGUUCCCUCUUUUCAUUUUUUUUUUUUUGUAACAUUAAGGUAUUUCAGUGGUGCCUGUCCAUUCAAAAUAGCCGUUCUCUUCUUCAAGGGACAGAAUUACACAACUGCCACAGUGCUCGUGCUGGGUUUGCUGACGGGGCACUGAUGUGUCUGUGAGGAUUGUGGCUGGAAAUGCAGGUUCUUCUGUCUUGGGUGGAGAAGCAAGAAAUUGUGCUUCUUAGUGGAGAUACUGCAUAGCUGUCCAGAAUGGAAAUUUUUAAAGAGGGGAAUUUUCUAGUGAGUCAUAGAUAUUAAUGUAGAUACUGAUUUUUUUUUAUUUAUUUAUUAUUUUUUUUCUGCCUGUCUCUACUAAUUAUCUGAUAGAGAACUACCCAACCAGAAGGCCAGGCUGUUGCUUUCUAAGCUUAAGAUGCUUGCAUUGUUGGAAUCUAAAUAUAAAGCUGCAAUCAAUAGGACGAUCAGUUUUCUGCGAGCAAAGGGAGCACAGUGUAAGUAAUAAUCACUUUGUGUAUAUGUAGCUUGUUGAAGUGAUUAGAAAAAUGAUGGCAUCAGCCUUUUUGUUAUAGUAGUUGAAUUAGUUAGGGCUUCAGCUUGCAAUGUUAUCUCAGAGACAGCAGAUAAAGCAGCUGUUAGGGAAGCUUUGCUUGUUCUUAUUUACAAGGAGCAGGCACCUGUACUUGUUUAUUUUCCAGUGUGGGGAAAAGGCUGAGAGCAUAAAGCCACUAACUGCCCAGAAGUGAUAUUGGUCCGUUACAGUUUUCACGGUUCAUAUUUUUUUUUAACGUGCUAUAAGUAGUUAAUCUGAGCCAUCCAUGGAAACGCAAACAAACCGUGUGCUACAGUGGAUGCUACUGUUUGCCUUCAUCUUCCCCCAGUGAUACACUGGUCCUGAUCCCCUGCCCUUCUGCCAUGCAGAACAGACCUUCCUGGUGUGUAAUCCUGGCUCAGCAGGACCCUCUCUGGAAGGACAGCUUUAGGGCGGGGAGACCUGAAGGGUCAGGUUGUGAUUUCUGUUUUAACUUUCCAGGUGCAUGGAUUUCUGCUGCGUAUUGAUCAAAGGCAGUAGAAAUAAAUACGCACAUGCCAGGAUUAAGACACAUAGACACCAUGUGACUCUUCUUUUCUUUGGACAUAUAUGAUUUGAAGGGUAGAUUUUCAGGUUUCUUUGGCUUUUGGAGUGGGUAUUGUGUACCCCCCCUCUCCCCUCCCUUGCCUUCUUAAAUUGUCUUUGGGCUUUGAAAUAUACAUAGUUUCAUUUUCAAAUGCACUGAAUAGUGGAUGUCCUGACAUCAGGCACUGAAUAUUUUCACAGAUUUAUAGGUAGAGAUCUAGAAACUCAAUUUAGUUUCCAAAUAAGUAUGAAGCUCAAGGUGUUGAUUAAUUUUGCUUUAAAAAAAGGUAAGAAUAUCGGUGUGUAUUCUCAUCAAGAUCAUUAUUUCUUUGCAUUCAUAAGCACGUGAAUGGAACAUUCAUUUUUCCGCUUGUGGUGAUGAGUUUUGAUGCUUCACCUAGAAAAACUUGUCCUCAAAAUGUAGUUUGUGUUUGGAGUUAAACCGCAGGCUUUGGCAAAUUUCUUUUGACAAGGACUUUAAUAUUUGGCAUCCAGCCAUUGAAAAUACACAAUCCUUGCUGCUCCACUCCAAACUGCAUUGUUCCUCGAGAGCAGAGCUAUCAGGCAGCAUCAUGGAAAAUGAGGGGACUGUAGUGGCAGCUUGGUUAAAGGCUUUGCAAAUCUAAGACGAAGCUUUAAAAUAUUUCUGAAUCUAAAAAGAAGCAUUCGUGUACUGGUGCGAUAUGUUUGUGUAGACUCCUGUUUGCCAUAUGUAUCUUCAUAGUCAUAUACAUUGUGCUACAUGUAGAUAGAUAGGGCUGUAUCAGAUCUGUGUGGGAGCAGGAGUCCACUGACAAAUUUGCUUCAAUAAAAAUGUCCUGCUGUUUGCAUUAUUAAUUAAAACUAGGAGGCUUCCCUUAACAGUUAUGGCAUUUGGAAGAAGAAAGGUGAUCUUAAAAAUAGCUUGGACAUAACCCAUAGAAAGACUUUCACAGCUCAGCAUCAACAUCUUGAGCUGUAUUAGGGCUAACAGGGCAGUCAUAUGGUCUGAAAAAUUGUGUUCCUUGUGGAUAGCUGCUUUCUCCAUUGCUUGCAACUCCUAAGUGAUCCACAGCUGCUCCGUGGGAAAAUCAAUACAGUAAUCCAGUCCGAAGGUCCUAAGGUGUAGCAGCAGUGGCAAUUAUGUUUUGACAAUAGACUUCUAAAGCGUGUGGUAUGGCUUCAUUACAGUGAAUAACUUCAAACAUCCUGCCAGUUUUCUCAGGCUCCUCUGAUCAGGGCUGAGCUGGAGCGGAGAUCUUAAAUCAAGGCAGCUGCUCUAUCUGAGCAGUCCACGCAAAUGGGUCUUAAUAGCGGCAGCUAGUGUGGUAAUGAAAAUCUGUUACACCCAUUGCUUGGUGUAACAGAGCUUUGGGUACCACAAAAGGUUGUCCUCAGAUGAGAUAGGGGAUUAGGAUUAGUGUAAAGGGGACAGAGCAGAUGGUUAAAGAAAAUUAGCCACUCUGGAUUUCAGGGCAAUAGCAAAGAUUUCAGAUGUAUUUGUGCUGCCUUUGUUGCCUUUUUUUUUUUUAAUUGCAUAAAUUUGCAAAGAUUGCCUUGGAUGUGUGCAUACCAAAACAGAAACUUGUGGUUUAUGCAUACAGGGAGUCUAUCUUGCACAUUUAUUUGAGAUUAAAAAAAUAUUUAAGCUGUUAAGGAAAUGAAAACAUAAUGAUAGAAAUAAGCCCAUAUAGAUAUGGCAUUAUAGUGUUUGGUCUUCUGUCAGAUACAGCUCUUGGAGUUGUAGUAUUUUGCUGUCUUUAAUAUAGAGAUGUGGCCACUGAGACAGAGUUGGAAGUUACCUAAAUCAGAAUGCAGUAUUGCCUGUUGAGGCUUGCAGUAGUAGGGGACUCUACCCUGAUCGAUCAGAUCAAGACAGAUGGCUGUGAAAUUGGUUCUCCAGCCUCGCUGAGCCACACUGGGGUGUAAGGGAUGCAGGCAGAGGAAUUAUGCUCUGGUUUGGCCAUACGGCUCCAGCUGUAGCCCCAGGGCCGCUGCCGCCAUCCCAGCAGUUUCUCUUUUGGCCUGACUGCCUCGCCCUUGAAGAAUCGAAGAUAAAGGAAUGUGUGUUCCAGGCUGAAGAAAAAAGCUUCUAGCUGGUGAUGCAGUGUGUAUAGCCGUCCUUUUCUGGUCUGAAUUAGCUGCAGGUUCUUAUGGGAAUUGAAAAGGUCAGUCUCUUGCAAAGUAACCGAGAAGAUGACGAUAAGUUGCUCAAACAGACAUCCCUCUGUUUCUCUGAAGCGUAAUCUAUCAAUCAUUUCUCAGCCUUUUUCUUUGCUGUCAUGAGAUGAUAGCAAAUUAAUUGUAGGUCUGUACAUCAAACUUUUAAGUGCAUGUGUGUGCUCCUCUGCAAAAUAGGUUUCAAAUGGCUUGGAAAUUGUAAUCUUAGUGAGCGCUCUCCUUCACCCAUAAUGAUUUGUGUCUUUCUAAAGUCAUGAACACGAAUUAAACUUGCUAUUAAAAACUGUUUUAAAAAAUGAAUGAUUAUUAACAGAUAAGGAUGGCUCUUAAGUGGGCUUCUCUGCAAAAAAUGUGACCACCCCAUUAAGACCCCAAACCUCUUUGCUGCCCAGGUUUUUCUAGCAAACUGUCCUUAUCAAUCGGAAUAAAGUUUCUGUGGAAUUGAUUCACUCCGCAGUGUCGCAGAGGUGUCCAAGAGAGGUCAAAACACACUAUUGUUUGCCAUUUUUGAAAGGGCAAUGGGCUCCUGUGAGUUUGUGUGUUGCUGCAGCAAACCGAGAUCUUGCCUGCCUGUGCGCUUGCUGUAGGAUUGACCUACAGAGCCACAUAAAAGGGCAUGAUUGUAGUGUCCUGGCAAAGUGAGCCUUAAAAAUCCCAUUUUUUUAUUGCUUAAACUGAUUAGAAGACCAGCACCUUUUGCGGGGAUUUUUAUAAAUCCGGUUCUGUAAAGAUAAUCAUCUGGGUCAGAAGCUGGAGGUGCUGUCACCUAUUUUUUUCAAAGCUACAGUAUGUUUGGAAACUCUUUAAUAAGGUUGGAUUGCUAUAAGGAAUCCAGUGGAUUUCUGAAACACUCAUUGAAUUUAACCUAUAAAACUCAAGUUCCCACAGGUAAACUGAGGCUUGUCAGCCGGUGCCUUCAUCUCGAUGUAAGCUGACAUGAACAUUUUGAGAAAAAGCAAAGAAAAAAUUCUGUGUUCUCUUUAUCCCAUUCACUUGCCUUCUGAGCUCUUCUCAUUUAACUCACUUCCUUUGUGACAUUGCAAAAUCGAGGUUGACCGUCUGUCAUUUAGCAGUGCAGGGCACCCGGCUGCGUGGCCUCGUUCUGCUGCUAAUGAGGGUAACGACUACGGGGCUGAUGAGACUGGGGCUGGUUCUGCAUUGCCCACGUUGGACCUGUCCAGCUGUGCAGGAGCUGCCAGGAGCGAGGGAUGGAGCGAGGUGGUGGGGCCAGAAGUGAGGUUACCUCCAGGUGUGGUUAACUCCAGGUGUGGUUAACAACUCCAGGUGUGGUUAACAACUCCAGGUGUGGUUAACUCCAGGUGUGGUUAACUCCAUGGAGCUGAGCCCUGGGCACUGUGGCUUUGCCCAGGUUGUGCAGAAACAAAAGAGUAAGUACAUGCUUGCCAGGACAGAAAACCUGUCCCCCUGGCAGGGGCACCUUUGCACAGAAAGGCUCUCUGGGUGUACAUACGCUUUGCUGCUGACAGUAGCUCCUUUUUCUGUCAUGAAGUGAUAACUUGUUGCUCUGGAAGUCAGUUAAUGGAAUCGGCUGUCUCUAGGACUCUUCGGAAGAUGCAUCCUGCUGAUAUCAAAACACAUGAAUUCUCGUUCUUGUUCAGAUAUUUUUUCUCUCACUUCAAGAAAAUAAGGUUUUUAAAGGGUGUGUAGGUACUUAAAUAUUCAAACAGAGACUUUGUGAAAUUUUAAAAAGCAACCUGCUGUGAACUUGCAGUUACUGUGGGUGCCUAAAUGCCUUUAAAAUCUGCCCUACUGCUUCUCUACUCUAGAUAUUCCUCCAGGAAAAUGAAAAGGUAAUCAAGAUUAAUCCACUAAUGGAAAAUGUGUGCUCAUUGGGCAGUGGACAGUGUGCUGAGGACAAAAAGUAACUUUUGAGAAGUCUAAGAACUGUGAAAUUCUCCUAAUGCCUUUGUAAGAGCAAUAUGAAAUAUGUAGGUCUGACAUGAUGCAGGUAGUAACGAAGAAGAGAGAAACAACAUCCCGUUAAUGGCAGAACUCUGGAGUCCUUCUUUGCAGAAAGCGGACUGACAGCAUUUGUACGUUAAAUGAAAUGAAUUAGCAAACAAGUAAUUAAAUUUGCAUGUAACCUUGUUAAGAUAAUAUCCUGUCCAUCUUAAACCUGCCAUAUUAGACAUAUUUAAUCUUUGUGACGCAUGGAGCGGUAUAUUGUGUUUGACAGCUUCUAAAGGAAGAAGGAUGAGAGACUGUAAUUGGAAUGCUGCUGUUGGAUAAUAAUGAUGAGCACUUCUCAUCUUCAAAGGGUUUUCAGCCUCUCUAGCUAAUCCACACAUCUGCUGAGUGGGAAAGGUAAGGUUUAUCCCUGUUUUACAGGUGGGAAAACUGAGAUGGAAGAAGAAUCACCAGGUUAGAACUUGAAGUGCCUAGAUGCUACUAGUGCUGUGUAAACACAAAAUUAAAUUAAUUUGCUCACACAAAAUGAAGUAAAUGUAUUGUUUUGGUUUAGAUUACACACAUUACAUCAUUUGUCCUGGUGCUUGACCCUUCAAAUACAAAGUCUAAGCGCUACCAAUAUAACAAGUGUUCUCUAGUAAUCAUGUUACUGUUGAGUUCAAGAAUCUUUGCAAGUAAAAUGUGCAGAGUUUCUGAAUUUUUGCACUUGGAAGUGAAGAUCUGAUCCUGAAAGCCUUCUGGGUAUAGAAUCUGUUUUGUAAUUAGUGGAACUUCAGACUCAGAAACUGGGAGAGUAUCACCCAUUGCUCUGGCAAAACUCUCUGGAGUGUGCAGCGUUGCUUGCUGGAUUGGCAUGUUAAGGCAAUUAGAGUUUAUUGGUUAAUAAAAUGGUAAAACUAAAUUAGUUGCUGAAGUGGACAUCUUUCUCUCCCAUUCUUCACCCGCCAUUUUAUUAGAAGUGAUUGCUUAAACAGAUUCAAGAUGGUUUAAAAAUAAGAUUUUCUUUUGUUUUGAAGUGUUUAACUUAUGCUAUUAAACUGGAAAAUGUUUUAAAAUUUAAGUUUGCCUACUACUGAUCAUACGUCAGACUAGAAUUCCUUGUAUAUAAACAGCAAUUGUGGGUCAAUUAUUGCACAUAUUAUUCAUCCUUGUGUGUUUCUAUUGUCCUAAUGGUUAGUGAACAGCAAAUACAUUAGAGAUUUUUACAAAAAGUCUUUAUUUCAGGAAUAAAUAAAUACUAAAUUAUUUUAUCCUCAUUUUAGAUUUAGUAAAGCUUUGCUGAUGUCACUAAAUUUUAGUGUACAGAUGAGCCAUAAACCGAACCAUUCUAUAACCCCUAUUGGAAGCCAGUGGAUGAACAUUAUGCAGCUGGCGGACAGACCUGAUAAUAUUCUGACUGAUGACAUUUCGGAUUACUAUCUGAAGAAUGCUUCAUAUAAUUAAAAAAACAGAAGCAAAAUUAGCAACAUUUAAAACCCUCAUUAAUAAUAAAAAAAUAUUAGUUUUUCACUGAUAAUCUUGCUCCUUCACUUAUGUUUUCAUUGCAGCGCUGCCCAGUCAUUUUGCAAGUAGACACCCCUUUUGUGUUUUUUUCCCUUUUGUAUUUUCUGGGGGAAUUCCUACAUGCACUUGUUAGUUUUCCAAUAAAAGAAAAUGUUUUCACUUAGUCUUUACCUGAGUUCUAUUGGCUGAAAUGACAAUGCUGUUAAAAAUCAAUGUGCAGAAAGCCAGAUCAUUACUGAGUUUUUCCCUUGAACAGUUCAUAGAGACAGCAAGCUCAGGAAAACAGCCUGAGUAAACUGCGUCGUGAUUGAUUUAAAGUGCAUCUGAUGGAGUAUAAUUGUCUACUCAUUCUUUUCUUUUCAUUCUCCUCUCUAUAUGCUUCCUCUUUUGGGAUCAGAUAAUCAGGAGUAAUAAUCAAAAGCAUCAAGAAUAAAAAAAGAAAAUACACAGAAAUGAUCCCUCCUCAGUUUUGGCAUCAAAGCCAAACAGCAGUAACUUUAUAUUUCAUUUAUGAAUUCCUAUAUUCCACUGUAGUAUCAGCAGAAUCUUUGGCAGAGCCCUGACUCCACUUUAUAUUAGCUUAAUAAAAAUGCACACUUUGGUGGAUAUUGGCGGUUUUGCUGUUAGUGGCACUGAGACUAGAUUUUCAAGUGUGUCAACAUCAUCAUCAUCAAUAUCUUAAUCUCUUUUAAAAUGUGGCAAAAGGAUCAAUACUGUGAGGACGCAGGUUCCCAACAUUUCUAGUUUGUGUGGUGUGGGUUGCCCCCCGCCACACCUUGGUUUUUUAAUUGACAUUUAUGGCACUCAAAAUAGAGACUUUCCAGUUCAGAAAAUAUGUCUCUAACUGGUCUUGUAGAACAGAGCAUUAAUUGGGGAAUGUGGUCUGAUACCUACUCCAUAUAAAUGCAGACUAUUAAAUUGAUCUUAAAAAAUUCCUUCAAUAGGAGUUCCAAUUAAAAUAAAUCUAGAUUUUGCUCAUAUCCUUUACCUUGUAAAUUUACAUCAAUGCAAACUCUGCUGCAAACUCUUAAUAUGAGAAGAAAUUGUUCUUCUGUGAUUAUCUGCCGCGGGACAUAAACCUGUUUUAUCUAAAAUCAUACUCUGCUUAAAAUAUUAUCCAAACAACUAUUUAAUACAUCGGUGUUUUUGUUUUCAGGCAUGAACAAGUAGCAUAAGGCUACCUAAGCAAAUGGUUUUGGAAUGGUUUUUGGAAAAGCGUAUACAAUAAUACUAUCAUGUUACCAAUGUGUAAUUGUAGGGUGCCUGUGAACUGCUGUUACUGUGCUGAAAGGAACGGUUGUCAUGCAUGCAGCCUUUUUUUUAGGUUUAUUGUAUGCUCCUUGCUGUAAGUGUUUUCAUACCAUUGAGGAUAUUAUCCAAGCACUGUUAUUUCUUAGGAAUGUUUGCUCUGACAUGGUAAGUUACUGUUGAGUUUUGUUUAGUCCUAAAUUCCUCUCUCCAGUAAGCCUUUAUCGGUACGUCCUGGGGUUCUAUACUUGCAACUUCUCGAUGUUUUAAGUAUUAAAUUUACUAGUGAAAAAGUCUGGCUUUUUUUUUUUUUUCUGCUGGACACAUAAACUCAAGUUGAAAUAUGAGAAUUAAGUUAUCUUCCUUCUUUUUCUCUCACUGUGUGUGUGCAUAAAUCAAUCUCCAGUCAGAGAGAACUUCUCCAGGCAGAAGGUUCAUUGACUGCCAUCAGCAUAAAAAACCAAAACCAACAGAUUAUGCCUUCAGUGACUUUACCCGCUGAAGGCAGUGGGAGUGUGCAGUGAGAACAAGGCUCUGAGGAAAGAAAGCAGCGAUAUUUUGUUUUGUUCAGGUAUGUCUGCAAGGAGCAGAAGUCAUGGAAAAGAAGAUGUCAUUUUAUUUUGAAGCUCUUCAGAACAGAACAAUACUUUUGAGUAUCAUGUCUGCUGUCAGUUUUAUAGGGGCAUCAUUAAACACGUUCUAGCCAUUCAGUUUCUCCUUUUGCACUCAAUUUUAGGUGAACUAAAUCGUUCCCUUCUUUCCUUUUUACUUUUCACAUAGUUAAUCAUCAGCUACAUUCAUGUUUCCAUCUCUUCAGCUCAACCCUCAUAGGUUUAGCUUCCUCUAUUAUUUCGCUGUAGGCAAGUCACUCCAGCUCUGAUCAUGUUUCAUAACCCUCUGUUGGAGCUCUCCAGUUUAUCUACAUCUUUCAAAUAAUGCUAUGCAUAGAAGUGCUGCUUUGCCAGAUACAUCUGUGUUCACAGUGCCUGUUAGUAUGUGAUUUAAAUGUGUUUAUUUGUGUUACUCUAUUAAUACAGAUAAAUUUGGCCAGUAGUAUAUUGGCAGAUCCAUUUAUGUAUUACACAAAUGUUUGUAUAUUCUCUUCCUAUUUCAGCUGUGACUUUGCAGGAGUGCUAUUUACCUCUGCCAUUCUGCAUGAAUUCUUGUAUCUGUUUCAAAAGAGCGUAGUGGGACUUCAUUGUAGAGAAGGCUCUAUCUGCAUUGAGACCUUCACAGAUAGUGAAGUUUCCCGUAGUUGCUGAUGGGAGUAAUACUUGCGUUAAUUUCUUAAUUGUAUUAAUUUUUUAAUGCAAACUGGUAUUGUGGGUCUUUUCAUUGUCUCAAAAUGUGUUUUCAUUAAUUAAGCAAGAUGGCAUAGGGCAUAACUCAUCUCUGGCUUAAAACAAAGGAAAACACUUGAAUCCAAUGUGUGGACCGGAGACUGAUAUAUACAGUCUCCUUGUAUUCCCUCUUGUAUUUCAUGGAAGUUCAGAUGUUUUGGUAUAGUCCAUGAAACUGUACAGCAAGGAAAUACUGUGCAAUUUGACUCUGAUUUAAUAAUAAAAUUCCACAAACAUUUCUAUCUCUAUACUUAGUGAGCCUGCAGCCAUUUUUUUUCUUAUAUUUUAUUCAUUAUUACUAAAGUAUUUCUACAAGUAAGUCUCCCAGGAUUAACUUCUUGGUUUUUUUAAAAGCUGUCAGUAUGUCAGAAAUAAACCUUCUGGCAUUGGAGAAGCGGAGGCUUUGAGGUGUGAUUCUCAAAGUCAAGAUUUUGGGCUAUGAUAAAGCCCUUUAGUUACAUAUCCAUAAUCAAAUAGCCAGUUAAAUUCCUGAGAGAAAAGCUAGAUAAAUGUAACAGCUGAUGUUGUACUGUGUGUGACUAACUCAUAGGUCUGUUCCAAUUGCACGUUAAAGCACAGAGACACACUUCUGAUUUCAUCUGCUUCCAAGCACAAAAUUACAUGUUGUUCCUCAUUAAUAACAUUCUUUUAAAAAUAGUACAAGGAUGAAAACGAAGCCUGGACUUUCUCUCAUAAUGAUACCCUGGAGCAUCAGAGAUACUGAAAGCUUCUGAUCUCUGUGUGAAAAUAGCAAAUGGAAGAUGUCUGUGUAUCAAGAAGGCAGUGAAGUCUUCCUGAAUAUUCUCAUGCACACUUCAUUUUGGUAGAUUUGGGUUUAUAUCACUGUGUUUUAACUCCUGUCCAACAUAAUACAUUAAUUUCUAUUAUAAUUACAGUGCUCUUCAAACCAAUGAAGGUCUCCAGGCUGUUUUUAGGGGUGAUGGCUUAAUGUACUAACACAGACUAUCAAUCACAGUAUUUGUUUGUUGCUGAAAAUACAGAAGCAGAGGGCAGGCUUUGGCUGUUUAGGGGCCUGGUUGACAGAGUCCCUUGGGCUGCAGUCCUGAGGGACCAAGGGGUCCAGGAAGGCUGGACAUUCUUCAAGAAGGAAAUCCGAGAGACACAGGAGCAGGUUGUCUCUGUGUGCCAAAAGAUGAGCCAACAGGGAAGAAAACCAGCCUCACUGAACUGGGUGCUUUGGCUGGAACUCAGGAAUAAAAGGAGAGUUUAUAACCUUUGGAAGAAGGAGCAGGCAACUCAGGAGGACUACAAGGAUGCUGUGAAGUUAUGUAGGGAGAAAAUUCAAAGGGCCAAGGCCCAGCUAGAGCUGAAUCUGGCUACUGCUGUAAAAGGCAAUAAGAAAUGUUUCUAUAAAUACAUUAACAACAAAAGGAGGACUAAGGAGAAUCUCUGUCGUUUGUUGGAUGUGGGGGGGAACAUAGUGGCAGACAACACCAAACUGAGUGGGAGUGUUGAUCUGCUGGAGGGCAGGAAGGCCACACAGAGGGAUAUAGAGCAGCUGGAUCGUUGGGCUGAGGCCAGUUGUAUGAGGUUCAACAAGGCCAAGUGACGGGUCCUGCACUUGGGUCACAACAACCCCAGGCAGCGCUACAGGCAUGGGGAAGAGUGGCUGGAAAGUGCCUGGCAGAGAGGGAUCUGGAGGUGCUGAUUGACAGCCGGCUGAAUUAUGAGCUAGUAGUGUGCCCAGGUGGCCAAAAAGGCCAACAGCAUCCUGACUUGUAUCAGGAAUAGUGUGGCCAGCAGGGCUAGGGAAGCGAUUGUGCCUCUCUACUGGGUGCUGGUGAGGCCCCACUUUGAAUCCUGUGUUCAGUUUUGGGCCCCUCACUACAAGGAACACAUUGAGGUGCUGGAGUGAGUUCAGAUGAGGGCAACAAAGCGGGUGAGGGGUCUGGAGCACAAGUGUGAUGAGAAGCAGCUGAGAGAGCUGGGGCUGUUCAGUCUGGAGAAAAGGAGGCUGAGGGGAGACCUUAUAACUGUCUGCAACUACCUGAAAGGUUGUAGCAUGGGGGGUGUUGGUCUCUUCUCUGAAGUAGCAAGUGAUAGGACAAGAGGUAAUGGCCUCAAGUUGUGCCAAGGGGUGGUUUAGAUUGGAUAUUGGAGAAAAACUUCACAGAAAGGUUUGCCAAGCAUUGGAACAGGCUGCCCAGGGAAGUGGUUGAGUCACCAUCCCUGGGGGUGUUUAAAAGAUGUGUAGAUGAGGUGCUUAGGGACGUGGUUUAGUGGUGGACUGUGCAGUGUGAGUUUUACGGUUGAACUCAAUGAUCUGAAGGGUCUUUUCCAACCUAAAUGAUUCUAUGCCUCUAAGCUGUGCUGUUUGUAGAAAGGGAAGACUGUGCCUAUGAAACCUGCGACAUUAAGGAUGUCUUUCUCUUACAUAUGUUUUCUUUGUAACUGUGGGCAAGUCUUCUAAGCUCAUAAAAGGACUUGGAUCCUAGUACUUGUGCCAUUUAUUCCCUCCCCCCCCUUAAUAUUUUUUUUCAAAUUGUAAAAUACCUAAAUAGUCCUUUUCAUGGGCAGUAGAAGUGUUGGAGAAUAUCUCUGUUCCAUACCUAUUAAUGACCUGGUGGUUAGAGGACCUUCUACCAAAGGAAGAUGUCGGGGAUUGGCUCAAGGAGCACGGACAUGAGUCCACCAAGCAACUGUACGAGCAGAGCCCAUUUUAGUUGACAUAAGUAGGCCUUAGUUAGCUUGUCUAUUAGGCCAUGGGAAAGGGGGGAACGGAAAAGUACUAACUAAGGCAGGGUCAGGAUAUUUUUGAAGAGAUAAGAGUCAGAAGAAUGUGGGAUGCGCAUAGCUAGCUAAACCCAAGUAGGUGGAGUAAGUAAAUGUGCUUAGCCUAUUAGAUAGAGACAAGUAUGCAUAAUUAUGGUAUUUGGUAUAAAUGCACGCUAUCUCGGGCAAUAAAGUUGAAGUAUGCUUUAUCACUCA